rnacentral:lncRNA from 1 species
CAAGUUUAAUUUGAACAUCAUCCAUCUAGUUCAUUUUUAAUUCGUCACAGUAUUUAUUUAUUGCAGGAAGAGGAAGGAUAUGGAAUGAGUCACGUCUGCCAAUACUUCAUCCUACUUGUCGUGCUUUCUUCUAAAUGGUCAAAACUGAAGAAAGGCUUCUGUCCUGCGCCCGUCAACAAAACUGAAGGAGCUAUUUCAUGUUAAGUUGUGGCCCAGGAAGCAUCUAUCUUAUGGUCUUUACUUUCAUGAUGUAUGAAUGGAUAAGUUAGUUGUAUCAAGUUUAUUGUGUGUUCUGUAGGUUCGUCAAAAAAGAAGUUCGUCGUGUGUCCUGCUGUUUUAAGUACAAUCUUUAAUUUGUGUCAUUGUGUGGAUGUGCCACUUGGUUCUUGAACUUGCAUGUGUUGUACCAAGUCUGUAUGUGAAGUUUAAUCUCUAAGUUUGCUUGUGUUUAAUUUACCACGCACGAACACCAGAGAAAUUAAACGGCAAUACUGGAAAUCAAGGGCAUGUUUCAAUGUUGGCCCCAAGUGGCCAAGGCAAAGCAUGGGCCGAGGCCAAAAUUUGGCAGCUGAUUUGGCUGCCCCCAUUUGGCCAGUCUUCGCGCAAAAAUAAACUACAGAAGUCCGGUCAAGCCAAAUCGGCACCAUCAUGCAAACAUUGCUGAUACCCACGGCCAAUGGCCAAAUUUUGGCCGGGCCACUUGGGUUGGCAUCCAAACAUGCUCCAAAUAAUGCACAUCCAUGAAGGCCACUUGACUAGCAAUCAGAGGAUAAACAAUAGACUAUAACCUUUUGCUGCUGGACAAAAACUAAUAUUUCAUAACAGGAAUUUAGGAAUAUCAAUAUUGGCACUGCUCUACAUCAAAUUAGGCAGCAUAUAACACAUAAUAAUCUGUAACUGUUUACAACACAAUAAGAAGGUGAGGGUGGAAAAUUGACAUUUAAUUUACGAUUGGGGGGUAAAAGGAGAAAGAUAUAUCUUCUUCACCAUGCUCUGGUUGGUGUAGCUACAUUCAAGGAGUUCAUAUCUAAGAAAAAUCAGUUGUACCCAUAGCAAAGUAGAAAAGGAUGAGUCUGCCAACAGAUAUUUUUGCCUGUACCCAGGACAAAAAAAAAAAAGGAACCAUGCACAACCAGGAGAAACGAAGAGAAAAGAUUGGCUUGCAAACUCACCAGGUAAGUAAACCAGGUACUUGUGUAAGCGAACAACACACCGCAAAUAUCUUCUGAUCGAAAAGCUGCAAUUAACCAAAGCAAUCAACCAAAAAGUUAUAUUAGUAUUUAUGUCAUGACAGUAAAGCAAAAAGGAUAGGAGAAUACUUUGCAGUAUUAAACUACAACACCAAGAUAUUUAAGAAAGUAGGCUGGUGGUAAUAUAUAACUGAUUCACGAUGAGUCAUUCGAGCUCACUUAGACUUAUCAGCAGCAACAAGACCACCAAAUCUUUAACGGCGCAAGAAACACAAAGCAAAGACGUGAUUCCCUCUCGUCGAGCGAAGCCUCCAGAAUGAAGAAAACAUAGAUAUUCUGAAAUUAGCAGUGUUCUGAAUCCCGGGUCCAUACAAAAUUACAAAAGAGCAUAAUCAUUUCGUUUUCAGUAAACAAUGGAAACAAUGGAACAGUACGAUCAUUAUUUUGACCCUUUGCAAAAGAUCAGGCAGCCUGUUCAUUUGAACCAAGAUCAUUCUACAUUUAAUUUUCUUUUGUGCAUAGGGGAGUCAUGAAUCUCUAUAUAUGUUGGUGAAAAGAAAAUAGGAUUUAGAAUAUAAUCAGUUUUGAACGUGAACCUGCAGAAGCUAUCGACUGAAGAUUGAAGCUUCGAAUAAAAAUCAUCUAAUUAGUGCCCUCGAAUCAUAGCCCUGAAGAUUGAAGCUUCAUAUAAAAAAACAUCCCAUUAGUGCCUUGGUUUGGAUUUCAGCUUGACUGCACCAUUAAUUCGGAAUAAACAAUAUUACCACAGCUAGAUGACCUUGAUACGCCUUUCUUCUUCAUCUUCUUUCUCUAUUUUACUUCCUAAACAGUGUUGGUUUGACCUUCGCAGUGCCGUCUACUUGUCCACCCUUUCACCAAUGUCAUCCUCUCCACCUCGCUGCACUCUUCUUCUACCUGACAUUGCCUGCCUCUAAAUCUACACUGACGUAUCUCAGCAGCCAUUUCUUCUUUUCACCUGGACCUGGGCACCUGGCACUGCAACAGCUCAGGUUGCCAAUAAUAGGAUUCCAAUCGAAGUGGUCUGUACAGGUUAGAGGGUAUGGGAGGUUUGGACUUAAAUAGAAUCGGAUGACCAAACCUAAUUGGAUGGCAAAAGCAGGUGUAUGUGCACGUUGUGUUGGAGAUGAAUGAACAGAGAGGAACAACAAGAACUCACAGUACAUAGCGACCAUCAAGGUAGCAUGUCGUGAAGCUGAAAGCCGGAACGGGUACUCGCGCUGUCGCCCAGUCUGCAAGCCGGACCUCGACGGGCAUCACUUGUCUAGGCCGCUGGAGGCGUAGGGCAUGGCGAGAGGAGCAAGCUCUGCAUUUCAACAGCAGGACGUAAUAAUAUUUUGACUGAAUGAUCAUCUGCCAUUUAUCAGAAUUACUGAGCCUCCGGAUACUAGCUAGCAUAGAUGCCAACCGCUGCCGCUCCACGACGUCGUUGUCUUUGCUGCCUAGGAGGGGGUUGGCCGGUGGCCGGCGAUAGCCGGAUCCCCUAGAGCAUCAGAGGUGGUGGUCGGCGGCUGUUGCAUCGAGCAAAGGAUUGGACGGUGAGUGCUCCGGAGUCUGGCGUCAAGCAGACAUGUGGGCCUUCGACUAAUUGGACCUAAUGCCAAACAUAACAGCUCGAGUACUCACAGGCCCAAUUGGCCCAUAAAGCCACCUACUCCUGUUCUCCUUUCUUCUUCCUUGCCUCAAUGCCAACUCCGGCGCGUUCGUUUCGAUUGGAAGCGGCAAGAUGUCCGGCGAGGAGGAGAACGCUGCCGAGCUCAAGAUCGGCGAAGGUUCGCUCUCCUUUACCUCUCCCAUUCUCCUCCCCCGUUUUCCCUCCCCAAAUUCUGGGCGGCGAGGAGGAGGUGGCGAUCAUCCUGGAGCACAAGUACGAGCAGAUCCAGCAGCACGUGUCGGAGUCGGACCCGUCGUCGCAGGUGUCCCAGGUGUUCGAGAAGUCACUGCAGUACGUGAAGCGCUUCAGCCGCUACAAGAACCCCGAUGCCGUGCGCCAGGUCCGCAAGACGCUCAGCCGCUACGGCCUCGCCGAGUUCGAGCUCUGCACGCUCGGCAACCUCUGCCAGGACACCAGAGGCGAGGCCACCGCGCUCGUACCAUCCCUCAAGUCCGGGGGGAGGUUCGUCGGCAAAGCCGGCAAUGAGAAGAUAGAGAAGAUGCUCACCGACCUCUCCCUCAUCAAGAAGUUGGAGUAGAGAGUGCCAUGGGCGUGCCUUAUUCAGUUCUUCAGUUUCCCUAGCUGUGCGUGUGACCUGUGAGACUUUUCUUAGCAGGUGACAAUGUAGUAGAAUUCCUACUGAUCAUCAAUGUUCUUCAGUUUCCCUAGCUGUGUGUGUGUGACCUGUGAGACUUUUCUUAGCAGGUGACAAUGUAGUAGAAUUCCUACUGAUCAUCAACGUUACAGUUAGUCAACUUGAUCUGCCUCGAUCCUAUAUUCUUGAUGUAUCGUUAUCCAAGUUAAAAGUCCAUAUGCUAUACUCUUUGUUUCAAAUUCUGCACGAAAAGCUAGAAUUGAGUUGAAAAGUAAUCCUUUGGUUAUGGAUGCUUCCUAAAGGUUUGGUUUCCACUUUCCAGUUCUCUGGACUUCUCAUCUAGUAGAGUGCUACCUCCAGUGUUAAAUGUUGGUAACUUGGUAGGAACAUGAAGCAUGCAACAGCUUCAAUCCUCUCCAGCAAAGCCUUGGAGUUGGAAUCCAAACUGAUCCUUAUUCUAAACCACAUCCGUGAUGCUUACAGGAACUACACAGCACAGAAUGCAAGAAGCUCAUAUCUUACAUGCAGUCCUUGGUGACUGUGAGACUUUUAUCAAGAGAGACUUCCCAGGUGAAGAUGUACUAGAGUUUCUACUGUUCAUCUGCUUUCGCAUUAUCUUGAUCUAUUCUGACAAGAGUCCCGAUCAUGAUCUGUUAAGAGAACCUUGUUCGUUUCAUAUGUAUAUGAAUAUGAUUGCAUUUUGUUCAUAAUUCUGCACAAAAAGACCUCCAUUCAGUUAAUUGAAUUGAAGAGCAAGCCUCUGACGAAUGCUCUCAGGUAAAGAGAGCAGCUUUGGUUCUCUGUUCUCAUGUUCUGUGAUGCAACCUAUAUUACUGAACAUAUCAUACAUAUGAACAUGAAUAGAACACCCUGCAAUUCAAGCAGGCAAACUGAGCCUGAUUCUGAACUUCACGUCACAAUGAUUUCGAGACAUCUGUAACACUACAGUAACUGCACAGCGCAGACACCAAGAGGCACACAUCUUAUAUAUAUAUAGUUACAAGUGAUUCAUUCUCCUUCUAUCACAUAUCUACUGAAUCAAUCCAAAUGGACGAUUCUAUAAGACAUUUGAUAUUCAUUUCACUAGUAGACAGUAACAGGUGACAAUGCCUCAUGGCCAGGAGAUGCUGGGGGAGAAGAAGCGCUAGCUUGCUUCCUACGAGCACCAGUUCCAGCAGCCAAAUGAAGGCGGUACCCGGCCGGUUCUCCUGAUGUGUUAUGCCUGCUCAGCUGUCCUUGCUGCCGCGCGGUUCCUUUUCAGCUCCGCUGCAGCACGCUUCUCAUCUGCAUUGUGCCUUGCUGAUGCAAGCUGGGUCAUCAGCUUGUCUUUAGCACGGGCACGCAUCCUCUCCACUUCAACCUUUAGGAACACAAAACCAUUAGUGCUUCGUUGAUAUGUACAAUGGAACAUCCACAUAAUCGGUGUUAAGAAAAUCUGAAUUUGCAAUUGGUUUUAUAUGUUCUGAACCUUAACUUCUCGGGCAUAUGGUGCAAGAGAAUAGGGGCAGCAGAAUAACAAACUAGAAUAAGCUAGUGAACCUGCCAUACUAUAUCUGAAUGAGACAAAAUAUUCUUAACUUGCUAUGUUGCAUCCGAAAGGCUUUGUUUUGUUGAUAUGUCAUAUCCAAGAUUAAAUGGAAUUAUGGAAGGACAAAUAAGCUAAUACCAAGUGUUAUGCUGAUGCAAGAGAAAAAUCGUGCCCUGGUUCAGAUAGGCUGAUGCAAGAUUAAAGGACAAUGGUUCUAAGUGUUGUUUUGGGCUAAUUUUUUUCUAUAAUUAUGGUGUUAUUACUUAUUUUGUCUUAGGAUCUUUAUAUUCUAAUUGUCAGUGGCAGUGGCAGUGACCAGACGAUCGAAUAAUUUCAUCCUCAGCAAAUUGAAGGAAAGCCCUAAAGGGCAAUGAUACGCAUUGAAUUAAGAUAAAUAAUAGCUGGAGGAGGUGGUAAGCUGCAAAGUUAGAGCUGUUGCAUUUUAACACCAUUCCUGUCGCAUGCAUGUCAUUACCAUUUUCAUUAAUUAGAUAGAUGCGUUGUGUUUGUGGGUAACCGUUAACUCAAAUGAAACUAACUAACUGCAGACCGACUACUCUAGCUACUUUCAUUGGUCCAUGGCAAAAAGAAUAAACUACUACUAUUGUAAUGAACAAUUACAUACCGAUCCUACACAUUCCAUCUUGUUUAUUAGCUAGGAAUGGAAACAAUUACAUACCUCCUUUUGGUGUCCUGGCCACUAACAUCACGAUGUCGCUGGGGUGGCACAGGGUAUGGGUUGGGAGCUCGUAGCUGUUGUAGAGUCAGACACAAAUAAAUAUACGAUCCAACAAGUCUUUUGCUACAUGCAGCUAGUUCAAUGCAGUGCGUACAGGGGGUGAGUGUUGAAAUAUGCAAUGCGUAUUUGGAAUAUUCUAGAAGAUUGUGGAGAUCUCAAGAGACUAACUUUGCCAUAUAUAAGGAUAAGAUCAUGGCAAGGUAAGAAGGUUCUAGAAAAUUGGAAAGAAUACAUGAGCCAUAAUUGUCAUGCUUCAUGGUGAAGUGUAGAAUACUCAAACUAGAUAUUUUAGUAUGGUAGAAAUAUAAGAAACUAGAUAAGGAUGAGGAGGGUUCUAGAGUUAGGAUAUUUUGUAUUCAAGAGUGUGAAAAUUGCCACAUGGCAAUAUCACAAUGAUCAUGAACACUUAUAAAUAGAGGUGCUCCCCUCCCUCCUAAUCGAUUUUUCAACAGUGAGCGAGGCCAAUUAUUAGCAUAUACAUACAUAAUGUAGUGUAAUUAAUAAAGACUAGAUAGUCAGCUGAGAGACACGACUUACCGAAAGCCUUUAGGCUUAUGACUAUAUUUGCAUUAAAAGGCUAAAGUUUAGCACCAACUCAACCAAACAAGAGAGUUAAUCGGUGGGUUAAACUUUAGUAAAACUUGAAAAAUUGUAAAAGCAUAAGCUAGGAUAAACUUUAGUUAAGCUAAAAAAGAUGUAAAAGUAUUAUUUAGGAUAAAAGGAUUCUGACUUGUCAAACUAAUAGCUUGGAGAGCAGCAAGUUGAGGACCUGUGACAUGAGGACCUGUGACAUGAUGCUGAUUCUGGGUUGUAUGGGACCUCAUAAUCCGAGCCUAUAUUGAAAUUAUAGGUCUAAGUAAGAAGGUCACUUUCUUGAACCCCAACUCUCCAAUCAUUGCCAAAACUAGCAACAACUGCAUCACAGAUGGUAUGAUACUUUGAAUCAGCAAUCUUGGAUGAAGAGAAAUCAUGCAACUCCUUAAAUAAGUGAGGGUAAGAGACCAUAGGAAUAAGAAGUAGAUGUAUUGAAAAAAUUGCACAGUCCUCAAACCUAUUACUCAUCAACCAGAGCAGAUGAUCCAUAUCUGCUCAAACCUAUUACUCAUCAACCAGAGCAGAUGAUCCAUAUCUGCUAGUAGCCAAAGCCUCCCACAAACAUUAAACAAUUUUAAAAUCAAAUCCGCAACUGCCUUGUAAUUAAGUCGUAGACGAGCAUUAAUUGAUGCAUCAUCCAAAUCUUGCCUUGUGAGAAUAUGGAUGCAUCUCAGCUUUACCUUCCCUGAGGGAUACACGCGAGAAGAUCAACACAACCUCCUUCCAGCUCAAUCUUUCUCAAAGUCUUGAUCGAAGAUCUUGAAACCUUCUUACUGAUUUCAGAAUCAAGAUAAUAAGAUUUGUAACUAUGCUCACCAGGAAGAGUUGGUAUACCAUCUGUGCAAUUGGUUUUGUAAUUAGUCUAUGUUUAAUACUCCUAUUAGUAUCUAAACAUUCAAUGUGACAGUAUUUAAAGAACCAAAAUGGAGGUGCAUCUGAAAGCAAGUUGGCAUCUUAGGACAAUUGUUCUUUUUUUUUUGUCAAUGCAUUCUGGUCUGCACUCGAGCUACCUAUCGAUCUCACAUUGAAUUGCGGCACACAAGAGUACAAGAGAAACAACCAAAAGAUGUUGGUAAGCCAACAAGAGGUAGCAUGUGUCCUACACAAAGAGAAUUCACAGAUCAGCAUAUGCCAUAGAAAACAAAUGGACCAAAAUCACAGCAGACACUAGCAACAAAAUAGAGGGUAGAGGUUACCUAGGAACAUUAAGAGUAAGUCAUCAAGCAUCAGUUGAUUCAGAUCAUAUCCCAUCCGGUGAAGAUGAAUCUGAAGAUCAAUCACAUCAACCUCAAACUGUGUGAGCAUAGCUGGAUUCUGACUAGUCAAACACACAACUUUGAGAGCAGCUUUCUGAGUACAUGUGACACGACGCUGAUUCUGGGAGUUGCGUGGGACCUCAUAAUCCGAGCCUCCAUUGAAAUUAUAAGUCUCACAAAGAAGGUCAUUUUCUUAAACCCCAACUCUCUAAUCAUUGCCAAGACCAGCAACAAGAGCAACAAAGAUGGCCUGAUACUCUGAAUGAUCAAUCUUGGAUUCCAAGAAACUAUGCAACUCCUUGAAUAUGUGAGAAUAAGAGAUCAUUAUAAUAAGACCAACAUGUAUUGGGAAAAUUUUCCGAUCCUCAAAGUGAUUAUUCAUCAGCCAGAGAAGGAGAUCAAUGUCUGAUGGUAGACAAAGCCACCCACUGACCAUAAACAAUUUCCAAAUCAAAUCCGAUGUUGCCCUGGUAAUUAAGAUAAAUAAUAGCUGGAGGAGGUGGUAAGCUGCAAAGUUCUCUACAAUGAUAUUCAAACUCCCCUGUGAUUAAUAUUUUUGUUAAGCUUUGCUACUCAACAGCUGAACAACUUCCCAUGCAGGGAUUAUCUAAUAUACGCAUCGUUCUGCCAAGCUGUGGUAAGAAGAAUAAAAUAAGGAUUCUAAAUAUUACAAAGGAGAGGAAAACACAUCUCAACUAAAAGAGGCAAACUGGGCAGGGAUCCAUGGCCAUGGUGACUUUGAAUGAAAGGAAAUAAGAUGCUUACUUCAAUUUUUCUCAUUUCAGCUUCAAUUUUGGCCUUUUGAUGAUCCUCCCAUGCUUGGAUCUUGAUCUCUUCUCGUUUGAACCUUGAAAGCAGAAGGCACAGCAUAUAAUUAAGUCACCAACCAACCAGAGAAUUUAAAAAUGUAGAUGUAAGACACUUAGAUAUAAGCACCUGGCCAAGUAUUUGGCCUUUUCCGCUUCCUCCCAAGCAGCUGCACGCCUGCACGGACUUCAGUUAUGUUCUGUGUUGAUUGGUCCAUGGGCACUGUUUUCAGUGCAAGGGAUGCAUCCUUUUCCUCUUCCUUCUUGCUUGCCCAUACUGCAAUAUUUGUCUUACCAAGCUGUGUGCCAAGAAGCAUUAUCUCCUUCCUAGUUUUUGUUUGCAGAUCCUGUUCACUUAAUUCGGCAUUGCUACAUUCUCCAUGGCUGCUAACAGCUCCAACUGCAUUGGGACCUAACGUCCUUCGUGGAGUUGUUGGCCGAGAACAAUUUGGACUUGUUGCUCUCACUGGUGUUCCUGUCCGGGAUGGUUCUUGGCUUGCAAUAGGAGUCAUUUCAGUGCCCAUAUCCCUCAUUGAUACUGACCUAACUGUUGAUGGAGGAGGUAUGCAUGUUGUUGCGCUUUGAAGUGGGGUGGAUGAAUCAUUACGAUCAAAAGUAACUGCACCCAUUCAAAAAAAAUCAACUAUAAGGAAUUUGAAUAAUCUUCGGUUGCAUUUGCACCUUAAUUACAACAUGAGAAGUGGGGAGACUAGCAUUUUUUCAAUGAAAAUACGUGUCACAACAUGUUCUAGCGUUUUUGAGGUUUGGUUAAUUAGCUCUGAAUAUUCUUCACUAUUAUCAUGGUGGCGGGCGACACAAGUGUUGGAGCUGCCUACCUUCCGAGUGCAACUUGGACUCUGAAUGCCGAUGAUGCCGUCCCAACCUUGCCUUCCACUUCUGCUAUCCGGCAGAAAGGCCUCCUCGAUCUUCCGGCCAAUAUGGCAAGCAUCAGUCACGCUACACUGAGCAUCUUUGCACUAUACCACUGCAUGUUUAUAAAACGAAAGAUGGCACUUCCUUGUCCUCUUGGACGAGAGGUCGCUGCUAAACCAAACUGACACCGCAACUAAAUGCGGAUAUCUUUUUUUUCUAGAAUACGCAGGAGAGCUGCGUAUCUUUGUAUUAAGAAGAUAAGAAAAUUUUCUUACAACGCGGAUCUACCAGGCGCACGUACACGGCUAGGAUACGGUGUUACAUGAUGGAAGCUGAAACAACCAAAAGCACACAACUCAAAGGAAACAAAACAGCCAAGAUGCUGGUUCAAACUGUCGGCCAACUGAAAGCAGCAACUUGCUUUGCGCCAGCCGCGCUCCAGAGGUUAGCCUCGUCAGUGAUAUCAGCAACCAGUUGGAUGGGCGUUUUUAGUGCUGCUCUUUGGAAGAUCCGAUCGUUGCGCUGCUUCCAAAUCCUCCAGGACACUAGCAUGAAGAUUGAGUCCAUUCCUUUUCUCUUGUCAUCGCUGAUCCUCUCCCUUUUUUCCAGCCACCAAUCUGACAAGGAUUUGUUUGGCGACGGCGGAGUGUUCUGAAUGUUCAAAGACAGACUGAGAAUGUGCCAUACUUGCUGCGUGAAGCUACAUCUCGCGAGCAGAACCAGGCAUGUAUAUAUGCAGUGUUCUGAUAAUCACGUGUGUCGCUUUCGACUUGACCCUUUACCAGAGCCAUUAAUUCUCGAGCUGAAUGAUAAAAAGCCGGGCAAAACCAGGCAUGUAUAUGUGCAGUGCAAGGUUCCAAAUCACUGGUAUUUCUUUCUGAAGAAAAUGCCAAUGCUAUUAAUUUGGGGAAAAAAGUUUUGGUGACAGAGAUGAUUGAGAUGAAAUUAGCCAUGUAAAUUGAGGAAGAACACAGCGUUGACGCUCGUUAUUGACACCUAUUUGAAUAGUGUUUUCAUGCAUAUUCUUGUACUGACCCGCCACUUGGCACCUGAAAUAACCCCAUAUUUGUAUGUGUUGUGUUUUGGACUAUAUUGCAAAAUCACAGAAAAUAUGACAUAAAUGAAGGGUUUUUCUACAAGUUGGAUUUGAACUUGGACUUUGGACAACACGAGAAGUCUACACGGGAAAGACAAGGAUUAGCGGAGACCAAAAGAGGGUAGGCUGAUCGGCCCAGGACACAUAGGCCGAUCAGUCUAGACCGAUUCACUGUCUAAAUGUGUCCACAUUCGAUGAACCAUCAUUCAGAUAACUUAGAGGCAAAGUAUGUAGUGAUUUGGCAAGUCAGUCUCGUGGUCAAGCUAAGGGAAACUCAAGGCUGGAAGGUCAUAAGGCCCGUAGAAGCAGCAGAACUUGCACAAGGCAUCUCCCUCGUCCGGACUCCGAUUGGGACAAAUUUAAUGUCUAAAUUGCAUAGCUCAAAAAGAUCUACAACUUUCAUAUAGAAAGUUUUGGCAUCUGAGGCCGGGAAGGAGGCAAUAUCGCCUAGGCUGAUCGGCCCAACGGGCCUAAGCCGAUUGGCCUAGCCGUUUCUAGUCCCGAUCGAUGUGCCCUUGUUGACGGCUGUUAGCAUGCCAAGUUGUGAACCGCAAGCGCACGGAUCAGUUGUAACUCUUCCCCUCAGAGUACUCCCCCAUGGUUUAUCAAUUCAUGGAAUUUAAAGUACAAGAUCUAUUUUAACUAGCAUUAUUAGUAUGGACUUGGUAUUGAUGAGUGAUUCAGAUCUAAUCUACUAAACAUGUACAUACAGAUAACAUAUAGAGUAGAGAUAAUUAAUCUAGAGUAACCUAGACUAUGCAUAUGUUGUAAUUCCGAGCAUAUGUUGUAUUUUCUGCAGCAAUUGUAGUCUUUGAAUAAGGCUCCACUUCUGGAUAGGGAUCAGGUGGAGCCCAAUUUACAGCUUUCUGCCACCCAAUUUCCCUCUUCUCUUGGCUUGGAUCAAUCCUCUUAGUAUCUAUCUCCUCCGUGGCCUCCAACACAACCUUUGUUGCUGGUAGCCUCCCAAUGCCAGAGCUAGGUUUCUCCAUCUUCCAGGGUACUGCCCCACCAGCAGCCCUGCUAGGACGGUUUGUUGUCGGGCUGGCAAUCCAUUUCUGCGCAUCGUCCCACUUUGAUGGAGCAGGCUUUGAGAAGGGAGGAACAACUGAUGCUGCCGCUGACCGAGCGGACGUCCCUCGUUCCUUGUGGAAUUCAAAGUUAGAAGCCACACUCUGAGUCACACGAAUCCUCCUCGGGCACCCUGACCCUGAAGCCAUGGAGUGGGUAUCUCGCGACCGGUGCCCACCCCCUGUCUCAAGCGAGGUUGAAGAUUCAGAGAUGGUGCUCACCACAUCUACAUCUCAAAGCCCAAUGGCCCAAACUGCAUACAGCCUCGUAUACAAACAAGUAGCCCAUCAUCAGCAGCGGUAGCGUCAUGCGACAUGUUGUGUAUGGGUCAACAAUUUGGACCGUGAGGAAACGAAUUAGGCUUGAAGCAGAGGCAAAAAAUGUACCAAUAAAAGUAGUGACUUUUUUUUAGUUAGAAAAAUCCAUUUUUACUAACUAUAACGAAAAAAGUAGUUAACUACUGCUUAACAACUUAUAUACAUAUAAAAAAAUAUCCUAAUAUCUUUUUCCUUCCUUGAAUCUUUUAGUUUUAGUCAUUUCAUGAAAAAUUUUAUACUAUAAAUUUCUUCUUAUCCAUAAUGGAUUUACCUGGACCAAUACAUGAGAUUCUUGUGCUAUUUGGGGGAUUUAUUCUUCUACUAGGGGGUCUUGGAGUAAGUAAUUAUUACUUACCAACCCAAUUUAUUCAGCCUUUUCGCUGGGAUUAGUUCUUGUUUGUAUAUCCUUAUUCUAUUUUUUAUUGAAUUCCUACUUUGUAGCUGUCGCACAACUUCUUAUUUAUGUGGGAGCUAUAAAUGUCUUGCUCGAAAUCAUAAACUUUGAUCUUAUGAUAUUGUAUUAGUGGAUGACACUGCAUUUCAAGAGUUUAGAGUUUAGGUAUAUAUAUGGCAUCCGAUGCAUUUCAAGAGUUUAGGUAUAUAUAUGGCAUCCGAAGCCAAGUUUAAUGAGUAAAAUUUGCAUUUUGAGAGUACAGGGACUUAAGUGACACCUGAGCCCAAGUUUAGGGAGCUAGAUAUGCAUUUUUUGCGAGUACGGGGUCUAAGUGAUACAGCCGAACAAGUUGAAGGACCAGCCAUGCAUUUUACUCUAAAGAUAUUGUUCCAUGAGGCAUCAUUUACCGUGUCUAUAGCUGUUCCGAAGAGCUGGGACGCCCUGCGCUUUUCAGGUUGAUCAGGAAACACCUGAAAUCGACUAGAAGAGAGCAAACGAGCAUGGUUUUGCACUUCUAGAGCGUAUCUGCAUCAGUGAUGGCGUAUGAAGCUUGAACUUACUAUACAGGACCUAGUCCUCUUGAGCUCUUUAAGCUUCCUUGCAACAACAGGAGCAAGCUGGAUGUUGGCAUCGAUGAACUCAUCUGAGGAUCCCUACAGAAGUAAGCAGGAUGAUCAGAAACAGUAGUAGGCCAAGUACCAUACAUAUGUAAUACAGUAAUAGCAGAAAUCGACCUGGUCUUUUCUGGAAAAAAAGAAGUGACAAAGGCUAGCAAAAAAUCAGUAUUGUUGAUAAAAAAUAAACUCUCCCAAAUCAGAAAUGCAUACUUCAACAUUGUAGUAUACAGAUUACAGAGGUAUCAUUCCCUGCAUCAAUCGUAUGCAUCUCUAAUUCGAUAUAAUCAAUCAUCGUACGUCAGAAGUACAAAGUUCAGUGUGGCAACAAUUGGUGCCAAAACUAGUAAGAAGAGAUGACGCAGAAUGAGCAUAUUGUGAUGAGUAGGUGUACCUUGUAAGAAGAGAUGCUGCUUGGCAGAGGCCUUGACAUCGUCAAAAUUCAGAAGCAGAGCCACCCACGAACAAGGCGUGAACCAGCAAGGAAACGAGCGAUGAUGAGAAGAUAAUGCGGGCACGGGGACAGCGACGCAGCAAAACGAAGAGCGGCGAGCUGGGAACUCGAUCUCGAGGCGGGUCUUGCCGUCGUCGAUGGCGCAGGCGAGGGAGCGCGCGGCGUCGGAGACGAGCACGUCGUAGGAGCGCGGCUUGUACACGGACACCCCGGCCCUGAGCGCCUCCACGUCCCCCAUGCCGGUCCCCGUCCCCGCCUCAGCGCGUGGGGAGACGGCCAGGCGGCGGGGCCGGAGCCGCGAGGAGGUGGCCGGCAGUCGGGGCGGAGAGGGAAAGGAGAAGGGCACGCGCGGCAGGCGGAAGUGCCGGGCGCAGAGAGCCGUGGGCGCCGGGGCGGCCAUGGCUGUGCGAUCCAGCAGCGUCGAGGAGGAAGAUAGCAGACGACAACACAGCCACACGCUGGCGCGAGGCCAAUCGAAGCUACUGUCUUCGGCAGGUGGGGCCGAGUCAUUGCAAAUGAAGCAAAAGUCUCGUGCCUCCCGAGUGCGAAGAGAGCAUGAGCUACACCCCCACUUCUGUCCUCGACUCAAUGCAUUCGCGGCAAGCCGGCGAGACGAUUGGAUUCCUUUUGCAUCGAUGCUUGCGCCAAUAGAAACAAGCACUUUCUUACAACGUAGGGGCUGUUUGGAUACGAGGUGCUAAACUUUAACAGUGUCACAUCGGAUGUUCGGAUGCUAAUUAGGAGGACUAAACAUGAUCUAAUUAUAAAACUAAUUGCAGAACCUUGUGCUAAUUUGUGAGACGAAUCUAUUAAGCCUAAUUAAUCCAUCAUUAGCAAAUGGUUACUGUAGCACCACAUUGUCAAAUCAUGGACUAAUUAGGCUUAAUAGAUUCGUCUCGCGAAUUAUACUCCAUCUGUGCAAUUAGUUUUGUAAUUAGCUUAUGUUUAGUACUCCUAAUUAGCAUCCAAACAUCCGAUGUGACAGGUGUUAAAUUUUAAUAGGGUGUUCCCAAACACCCCCGUAGUACAAACAUCAGGAUUUUCUUAACUAGCAUCGUCAAGCCCACGUCAGUGGGUGUCACCUCCUCUGCAAGCAGCACAAAGUAAAGUAAAGCAAUAUAAGUGGGCGUCACCUCCUCUGCACGCAACACAAAGUAAAGUAAAGCAAUGUAAACAAAUACAUUAGAGUAUGCAUAACAAAAUUGACUGUUUCACCUGCUACCUACCACCUAUGCACUAACCACAUCACACCACCAAUCGUAAGGGUGCCCCGGAUGAUGCUCCCCACCACGAUCCCAGCCAACAUCCCACCAGACAUCCAGCAGGCCGCUGCGUCUCGAGCAGCGGAGGGCUAGGCGGUGGCGGCUGGCGGGGCGGAGGAGUUGGGGAUGAUGGCAGUGGAGGGGGAGGAGGGGUAUCAGCCGGCGGUUGCAACUGCCUCCUUGCGGCUCCCGCACGUGCCGUAAAGCAUCCACACCGAGUCGAUGCUGAGGUUGGCUUCGGCGAAGGCGCUGUACUCACCGACGUUGUAGAGACAGCCGCGGUCUGGGUUGUCUACAGUGUCCAGCAACGCCAAGCAGUAGCCUGGAGGAGGAACGGUUGUUAAGAAUGUAUACUGCUCCGCCACCCUCGCCGCAAGAGUAGAGCUGUUGCAUUUUGGCGCCAUUCCUACCCAUGCAUGUCAUUACCAUUUUCAUUAAUUAGAUAGAUGCGUUGUGUUUAUGGGUAACAGUUAACUCAAAUGAAACCAACUAAAUGUAGACCCACUACUCUAGCUACUUUCAUUGGUCCAUGGCAAAAAGAAUAAACUACUACUAUUGUAAUGAACAAUUACAUACCGAUCCUACACAUUCCAUCUUGUUUAUUGGUCAGGAAUGGAAACAAUUGCAUACCUCUUUUUGGUGUCCUAGCCACUGACGCCACGAUGUCGCUGGGCCGGCACGGGGUACGGGUUGGGAGCUCGUAGCUGUUGCAGAGUCAGACACAAAUAAAUAUAUGAUCCAACAAGUCUUUUGUUGCAUGCAGCUAGUUCAAUGCAGUGCGUGCAGGGGUGAGUGUUGAAAUAUGCAAUGCAUACUUGGAAUAUUCUAGAAGAUUAUGAAGAUCUCAAGAAACUAACUUUACCAUAUAUAAGGAUAAGAUCAUGGUAAGAUAAGAACGUUCUAGAAAAUUGGAGAGAAUGCAUGAGCCAUAAUUGUCAUGCUUCAUGGUGAAGUGUAGAAUGCUCUAGAACAAGAUAGUUUAGCAUGGUAGAAAUAUAACAAACUAGAUAAGGAUGAGGAGGGUUCUAGAGUUAGGAUAUUUUGUAUUGAAGAGUGUAAAAACUGCCACAUGGCAACAUCACAAUGAUCAUGAGCACCUAUAAAUAGAGGUGCUCCCCUCCCUCCUAGCCGAUUUCUUAACAGUGAGCGAUGCCAAUUAUUAGCAUAUACAUGCGGAACGUAGUAUAAUUAAUAAAGACUAGAUAGUUAGCUGAGAGAGACGACCUACCAAAAGCCUUUGGCUUAUGACUAUAUUUGUAUUAAAAGGCUCAAGUUUAACACCAACUCAACCAAACAAGAGAGUUAAUCGGUGGGCUAAACUUUAGUUAAACCCAAAAAUUGUAAAAGAAUUAGCUAGGAUAAACUAAAUGUAAAAGCAUUAGCUAGGAUAAACUUUAGUUAAGCCAAAAAAGAUGUAAAAGUAUUAUUUAGGAUAAACUUUAGUCAAAUACAUAUUUGGUCAGAUAUAUGCAUCAUUUUGACAAGAUGUGGUAAGAGGAAUAAAAUAAGGAUAGACAUUCCAAUGGAAGUUCGAAACCAUAGACAUUCCAACAGAGACCAACAGAGACCAUAAGCAUAGCAGUUCUAACUACCACCUGCAUCACUACUACUACCAAUUAGGGGGUCCAUUCCUACAUAAACAUAGCAACUCAAACUACCACCUGCAUCACUACUACUACCAAUUAGGGGGUCCAGUCAUAGGGUUCUGACUUUACAUGUAGUCUCACACCAAAGAGUAUGACUUUACAUGUAGUCUCACACCAAAUAGUAUCCAGUAGAAUGCCAAAAAGCUAGCGAGGCACUCUACCACUUAAGUCUUGCUAACUGCACUCCUCAGCCACCAUCUCUGUCCUACAAAAACAAAGAGUGCAGAUCAGUACACAGCAUAGGAAUUGGACAGCUCAUAAUCACAGCAGAGGUUACCUAGGAGAACAUUCAGAACAAGUCAUCCAACAUCUUCGGAUCAUAUCCCAUCCGGUAAAGAUUAAUCUGAAUUUCCGCUACAACUCAAGGAAACUUCACUCUAGUGAUGAUCUCAAUACUGAUGGCAGAGAAAUCGUACAUCAUCUGAUUCCAAGUACCAUAAAUAGCUGCUAUGGCUUCCAUACGAUGUGCCAACCGAUUCCUCAGGAAAUUCAGAAGUUUGUGACCAUUGAUCACAUCAAUCUCAAACUGUGUGAGCAUAAGAGAAUUCUGACUUGUCAAACUAACAGCUUGGAGAGCAGCAAGUUGAGGACCUGUGACAUGAUGCUGAUUCUGGGAGUUGUAUGGGACCUCAUAAUUCAAGUCUAAAUUGAAGUUAUAGGUCUCAGUAAGAAGGUCACUUUCUUGAACCCCAACUCUCCAAUCAUUGCCAAAACUAGCAACAACUGCAACACAGAUGGCUUGAUACUCUGGAUCAACAAUCUUGGAUGAAGAGAAAUCAUGCAACUCCUUGAAUAAGUGAGGGUAAGAGACCAUAGGAAUAAGAGCAGAUGUAUUGGAAAAAUUGCACGGUCCUCCAACCUAUUCCUCAUCAACCAGAGCAGAUGAUCCAUAUCUGUUGGUAGCCAAAGCCUCCCACGAACAUUAAAUAAUUUUAAAAUCAAAUUCGCUACUGCCUUGUAAUUAAGUCGUAGACGGGCAUUAAUUGCUGCAUCAUCCAAAUCUUGCCUUGUGAGAAUAUGGACGCGUCUCAGCUUUACCUUCCCUGAGGGAUACACGCGAACUUUGCCUUCAGUGAGAAGAUCAACACAACCUCCUUCCAGCUCAAUCUUUCUCAAAGUCUUGAUCAAAAAUCUUGAAAACCUUCUUAGUGAUCUCAGAAGCAAGAUAAUAAGAUCUGUAACUAUGCUCACUAGGUAGAGUUGGAAUACCGUCUGUUGUUGAAUUAAAAUUCACUUCCGAGACCAUCUUAUUGUUCCUUUUGAAAUGAUCCCAAGUGACGCUCCUGUGAGAAAAACAGCACGGGUCCCAUUGGGUGAUGGAUCUAGAAUAUACUCAUCAUACACAAGGUAUGACUUUGCUGUAAAAAAAAUAAAAACCAGAUUAAAUUGAUUGUCAUAUAAUUGACAAAGAUGGUAAAUUAACAAAAACAAUAGAAAAAAUAAGGAAUAUAUAAAACUAUAUCCUAAUUAAUUGAAUGGAAAAAUAAGAAGGCACACAAGAAAUUACUACCUGGUCCAGGAGGUACUUGAGCCAUGGGGCAAGCUUUGAAGGUGAGUCCACGAAACACUGCAAAAAUAUUUGCAAAGUCAAUCUACUGAUAAAACAAAACGUAGCUGAGCCUAGAUAUCUAAACUUCCUUGUCCUAACACAUCUACAAUAGCAUUAUAACCCUAAAGGUAGCCAUGCUCAUUGGGUUGUAACCUAAGCUGUAACCUCACCAACCCAUUCAUAAAGAAAACAAAUAUAACACCCUCCAGUUCAAACCUCGAUCACCAAACACCGUACCACCCCUAAACUAAUUAUAAAUAUGAGCUAAUUAUAAAACUAAUUACACAGAUGGAGGCAAAUUCGUGAGAUGAAUCUAUUAAGCCUAAUUAAUCCAUCAUUAGCACAUGUUUACUGUAGCAUCACAUUAUCAAAUCAUGGACUAAUUAGGCUUAAUAGAUUCGUCUCGCAAAUUAGCCUCCAUCUGUGUAAUUGAUUUUGUAAUUAGUCUAUGUUUAAUACUCCUAAUUAGUAUCUAAACAUUCGAUGUGACAGUAUUUAAAGAACCAAAAUGGAGGUGCAUCUGAAAGCAAGUUGGCAUCUUAGGACAACUAUCCUUUUUUUUGUCAGUGCAUUCUGAUCUGCACUCGACCUACCUAUCGAUCUCACGUUGAAUUGCGGCGCACAAGAGUACGAGAGAAACAACCAAAAGGCGUUGGCAAUUUGGCAUGGACCCAACCAACAAAUUUCAUUUGCUUCACUCUUCCUUUGCUUCGAUCCCUCUAAAAUUUCGUGAAAUCUUUGCAAUUUGGCAAUGGACCCAACCAACAAUCUGCAUCGAGCUACUUAUCGAUCUCACAAGACUAACAAGAGAUCAAUCAUGAAGCCGCAAGUAGAUGCAAUUUUGCCUUGGGGCCAUGUCAUCAGUUGCACUAAUCAAGCAUUCAAACACCAAUUUAGCCCGCACAAAAUGUCCCCAAACUCAUCAUGCCAGCCAUGUAAGCCUUCAGCUUGUCGUGUACUCCCUCCGUUGUUCCAAAUCGUAUGUGCAUAGUAGUGUAUGUCUAGGGACGGAUCCAACAGUGAGGCGGACGACAGUGGCGGAGGUAGGAAUAAGACCUAGGGGGCUCUCCUUUCUUCCUUCUUGCUUCAUCCCCUCCUUCUCUUCUUCUUCUUCCUCCUCAAAUUUGUAGGAGGGGCUCGAGCCCCCCCUCCUCCCACCCCCACCGCUGGGGGUGGGGCUCAAGCCCUCCUACCGCCGCUCGGACAAUGGAGCCUCCCUCGAGCCCCUUCAUGAUUUUUAGGAAGAAUGAAGAAGAAGAGAAGGGGGGAAGGGAAAGGAAGAAGAGGGAGCUCCUCCUAAGCUCAGGGGCUGCAUCCACCAUUGUGUAUAUCUAGAUGCAUAUUAAUAUCUAUAAACCUACAAAGACCUAUAAUUUGGAAUCGGAGGGAAUAUAUUUUAAACACGACGAAAAAGAUGAUGAGAUUGAGGCCCUGUUUGGUUCUUUAGUCCACGGACUAAAGUGGGACUAAGAUAGUCCGUGUCACAUCGAAUCUUUGGAGGCUAAUUAGGAGGACUAAAUAUGAGUUAAUUAUAAAACUAAUUAGGCUAAACUGCGAGAUCAAUCUAUUAAGGCUAAUUAAUCCAUCAUUAUCAAAUGGUUACUGUAGCAGCAUAUUGUCAAAUCAUGGACUAAUUAGGCUUAAUGGAUUCAUCUCGCCAUUUAGCCUCCAUCUAUGCAAUAGGUUUUUUAAAUAGUCUAUGUUUAAUACUCCUAAUUAGUAUCUAAAUAUUCGAUGUGAUAGGGACUAAAGUUUAGUCCGGGGAACCAAACGGGGCGUCUAUACGUCGAAGACUCUAUCACAAGAAACUAUGCUCCAUAAUGCAAAGUUUGUAACAAUAGUUUCUAUGGAUAAAAUUUUUUAUUAUGCAACACAAAGAAAGCUGAUCAGCUGUGGCAUCUUACCAUGUGAUCCACCCUGCACCUCAACAGCUUGCAACAACCAUAUACGACAUGAUUAAUCAGCAACUGAACAGAGGCAUCCAGAAAUACGGUGUUGUGAUCAAACGGCAAUUGAACUGAUGCAUACAGGAUAUAUAUCACCAGAAGCACAACGCAUACUUUGACACAUACAAGAUAUAUCAGCAAACGCACUGGCAAACACAAUGCCUACAGUAUACACUGAAUGGCAAACAAACUCCACAGAACUUCGAUGAAAGUUUAGAUAGUAGCAAUGAGUCAUCCAUUACAAUAUAUAGCAAUGGAAACUAAGAUAUGAAUUGCAAACUGAAUAGAUAAUACUAAUAUUUAGAUAAUAUUAAGCCAUCCAUCAUCAUCCUGCAUACAGAACUCCAUGUCCAUCAUCCUCCAGCCACUCCAAGCAGAACUGUUAAAAAAUAAGAAUGGGUUAGUAAAUUAACAAAAUUGUACAGGUGGUUGAUUUAACAAAAUCUCAAUGGUUCAGUUAAAAAACAAAUAUCAAUGAUUUUUGAACAUGAAGGCUAAUGUGUAUAUAUAUAUAUUUAAAUGCAUAACUCUACCUAAUUAGUUCGAUUCCCAAACUUUUGCCAAAUGUGAUCAAUCAAAUCAGAUUGUAGUUGCCUGUGAGCUUCACGAUCACGAAUCUCAGCACUUCUCUGUAUUACCUCCUUCAUCACCGGAUCAUAUCCAUGAGCGAUUGUAGACGCCUGAAUAGUAGACGUGGUUCCUUCCUCGUUCAGGUCAAACGAAUCAUCCUCUAUAUCCUUCUCGUCCUCGAUUAUCAUGUUGUGAAGUAUUAUACAAGCUAACAUGAUAUUCUCAAGAUCCCCUUGAUCAUAUAGACAUGCCGGCCGACGCAAAAUGCAAACGAGAUUGUAAAAUACCAAAUGCACAUUCAACAUCCUUUCUUUCCCCCUCUUGAUGUUCUGAAUACAGCUUGUGCUCAGCUGAUUGUGGUGCGCGUAUGGAUUUGACAAAAACAGCCCAGUCUGGGUAUAUUCCAUCUACAAGAUAAUAACCUUUGGUAUAUUGCCUUCCAUUCACAAAGUAUUGCACCCGUGGAGCUUCUCCUCUUAAUUCCUUGACGAACAAAUCAGAAUGACUCAGCACAUUGAUGUCAUUGUUGGAUCCCGCCACUCCAAAGAAAGCAUGCCAUAUCCAUCGGUCAUGCGAAGCAACAGCCUCUAGAAUGAUGGUUGGUACACCAUGAUCACCACGAGUAUAUUGUCCCUUCCGUGCAUUAGGACAUUUUCCCCAAUGCCAAUGCAUACAGUCAAUGCUCCCUAACAUGCUAGGAAAACCACGACGCUCACCGAUCUCCAACAGGCGUUCAACAUCUUGUACUGUGGGGCGUCUCAAGUACUCUUCACCAUAUACUUCAAUGAUUCCCUUAACAAACUUUUUCAAGCACUCCACACCAGUACUUUCUCCCAUCUUCAGAUACUCAUCAAGCUGGUCUGCUGAGCCGCCAUAUGCUAAUUGACGGAUAGCUACCGUACACUUAUGAAUUGGUGAGAACCCGGGACGAUUCAGAGCAUCCGGUCAAGGUGAAAUACUCAUCCCAUCCACUCAAGGCCUCAACAAUCUUCAGAAGAGGGGUCUCCUCAUCCUAAAUCUUCUUCGAAACUGUGUCUCAUUGUAGACUAGAUUAAGAGAGAAGUAGUCAUCCAUUAGUUGCUGGCUGGCUUGUUCACGAGGCCUCUCCACAUAUCGCCUAGGACCACUCCGAGAUCCUCCACCUUGUAUGUCAUCAACAAUGGACUGCAUUUCAGCUACAAGAUAGUCGCCUAAAUCAUCUAGAAUUUCUUGCUCUUGAAGAUAGUCAUCCAUGGAGUACAGAUCAGCAGGGUCCAUGUUGCCAUCUCCAUCCAUGGCAGCAAAGGAUACCGGAGAAUAGUGGAAAGCAGAUUAGAAAGGGAAGCACUAGCAGAAAGGGGAGCAGUAGCAGAAAGGGGACUCAGAAUAGUGCCGUGGCUGUGUGCUAUAUAUAGUCACAAUUGCCGUGGCUGUAUCUAUUCACACUUGCAUGCACAAAACAAGUGGAAGGAGUUCACACUUGCCGUGGCUGUUUCAGUUUCACAAAAAUUAGUGGUCUCAUUUCACAAUUGGAAGGAGUUCACACUUGCAUGCAAAAAACUAAUCACAGGAAUUUAUAUAGCACUGACCAAAGGAUUUCAGUUACCUUACAUAAAUCACUUCCAUGGUCACAUUUGUUUUCACAUUGUAGCUAUUGCAUGAUCAAUUCUAGAAAAGGUACAAGUCCAUCAGUUACCAGUUCAUUGCAAUUGAAUAAGCAAUUAAAGAAGGGUUGACAGUGGCAUACAUUAGGAAAUAAAGCAAGUCUCAUGCUCUCUAGUGCCAAAUUUCUCUCAGCCAAAGCAUCUGCAUUAAGCUGAUCAUGAGGUGUAAGCAGUAGCUGUGUGUAAGUUUCCAGCAUUUUGCACUUCGUUUGUUCAUGAGCUGCUUCAUGACUAAUCUUAGCUGCUUCAAUCUUCUCAGCCAAACUUUGCUGAAUUUCUAUCAUCUUCUCUCUCUCUGCCCUAUUUUUGUUGCUUGCUUCAAUGAACUUGUCAAAUUUAUUGUUCAAAUCAGAUAAGGCGUCAUUUCCCUUUUUGUUGCCUUUCAAUUCUUUUUUGGCUUUCUUCUGUCCCAUUGGUCGCUUUUCUCCAUCUAAGUCCAAAUUCACCACUGCAGAUAGGUUACUGUUAGCCUUUGUACUCUUUUCCUUUUCCUUCUUUAACCUAGCAAUAUAUGCUGACCACUUCUGCUGACCACGUACUACCUUCCACAUAUGCAGCAGAUGGAAUGCCUUACCACUAUUCUGGCCAGCCCACAUCUCUAAUGCUUUGUCAGUCAACUGGUCAUCACUCAUCCCACUUUGCCAUACUCUAUCGGCAUUUACCCAAACGCCAUGAAAAUCAGUUAAUGGUUUCCUAGAGCGAUCCAAACGUAUUUUCAGUUGGUUUCUGUUCCUCUUACGGCUAGUUUCUGUGGUCUUGUUGUAUUCUAUAGUCACAUCUUCCCAAUACCGCUCUACCUUCUUGCCAUUUCCAUCGACUGGGUCCUUUGAAUUACGCAACCAGGCACUGGCCAAUCGUUUAUCUUUUUCAACGGUCCAGUUCAAACGCUUGUCGGUUCUAGCAUCGUCAUCGACAUUAAUUGAUUCAUCGUCUUCUGCACCUACAUCUUUCACUGCAUCAUGAGCUAGACCAUCUUCUUCUUCCGCUGGAGAAUGAGUUCUUGUAGCACCCAGGUCAAUUGGAGACACUAAAGACCGAUUCAUUGCAGCACCAACAAAGUGGAAAUUCUCUGAAAGAUUGGUUCCAUUAGGAUGGUUAAGAAAUGGGUUGGAAUGCAGAAGAUUUGAGAACCCUCCUUGAGGGUAUAACCUGCAACCAUAUUGUUUGUUGUGUGGUAAGGUUGUCUGUUAUUAUCGUAACUUCAGAGAAAACUGAAAGUAACAAUAUAGAGUGGCUCAAUCGUAACCAAAAAGGAAGAGGUGAUAUUAGCAGUCACCUAAUCUCUUCAAAAUGAGAGGAACACUAUUGGCAAAAGGCAUUCAAACUAUUAUCCAUGAAAUAUAUAUAUAUAUAUAUAUACUAAAUUACUAAAAUCCACAGAAUGCAUGCCAUAAAACACUUCAAGAGCAACACGCCGACAUGGCAAGUUGAGAACAACAUAUAGGAAAAAUAAUUGUUAUGAAAUUGGCAUGCCUAGCAACACCACGGCAUGUCAUUUAUGCAUAUAUACAUUCUGCACAUCUGUAACUAAAAUCUAAAAUCUAUAACUACAAUCUAUAAUCUAUAACUACAAAGAAGCUGUGACCAAAAUCUAUAACACCACGGCAUGCCAUCCACGCAAUUCAUCUAGUUAACACAGAAAGCUGUGACUAUAUAUAAAAUCUGUAACUACAAUGCGCAUAGACAAUCUGUGAUCCAUAGAAACGUAUUUCUGUUGACAUACCCUUCACUAGGAGAAGAUGUUGGCCACCAUCCACCAAAGGGGAAAGCACUGAUUGGAGAAGUGGUGACGGGAGCAGCAACACCUGCUGUUGCAGCGCUGCCAGCGGGAAGGCUCUGAGUUGCAGAAGCACCUGCGGCCGGAACACAGGUCCCAGGAGCACGGAUGGCCGGAGGUCGGGUUCCACGACCACCACUGCCCCGCCGGGAACUAGGCUUCGUCAAUCGAUUCAUCCCUAAUUCGAGAUUUGGGUAUGGAUUUGGGUUAAAGCUUGUUGGGGAGGAGAUCAGUUGGGGAGAAGAUUUGGGGAUGGAUUGGGCGUACCUUGAUUUGGAACUGGGUUCCUUUUGUACAGCGGCAACGAGCUGGAGAGCACGGGGGACGAGUCUGGAGAGCGCGGGGGACGAGCUGGAGAGCGCGCGCACGGGAGACCUUGCACGCGGGAAUCGGCGGGCUCCAGCUCGCGCGCGGGAGAAGCGGGAGGAAUUUUGGCGGCGGCGGCGGCAUGGCGUACUGGAUCCGUAGACUCGACCUUCCCCUCCCCCAAUGCGGAGACUGGUGGAGUCUUCCAGCCUCGAACGAAUCGAAGACUCGACGUCUAAAUAAGACGUCGUUUCUCCGUUUUUGCUCCUCUCUCCUCGUUAAAUUACUUGCCACAUCAUCCAAAUGCUUACAUGGCAGUGCAAUUAAUAGGGAUAGACUCCACGAUGAAGUCUGCAUUGUGAGUGCUCUAGGUGUUUGGUUCAAGUGAUUAAAAGUGACUAAAGUCCAUAAAUGCUGUGAGAAAAUGACUAUGCUGCCCUUCCCAGUUGCAAUAAAUGAGGGUGGGAGAGAGAGGGAGCAAUAAAUGAGGGACAGUAGGAGUCCAGAGAGGAUUUUAGUCACUUUUAGGAGGGGGUGGAGGGACUAGAUGAUUUGGAGCCUCGUAAAAGUUUUAGUCAAAUUUAGUCAAGGUGUUUAGCUCUUCAAUCUUUUUAGUCACCACUAAAAUUUUAGGGGGUGGCGACGAACAACCACUGGCUCCAAUAAAUUUGGCAGUGUGUCGGUGAAAAUAGAACCUUUUCAGCUGCACUGCAUUGUUGGCGGCCAGAAAUGGCCCAGGUGGCCUUUCGAUCGGAACCCGCAGCGAAUGGGUGAUGCACAAGUGGAGGCUGUGAUCUCUGACUUUGCAGUGUCUCUGGAUAUUUUCGGUCACUGCUUCACCGAUAGCACACUUCGGCCUUGUUUAGUUCACCUCCAAAUCCCAACUUUGGCACUAUGCAAAAAGAAGAUUCCCCAUCACAUCAAACUUGCGGUACAUGCAUGAAAUAUUGAAUGUAGACGAAAUUAAAAACUAAUUGCACAGUUUUGUUGUACUUUGUGAGCCGAAUCUUUUGAGCCUAAUUAGUCAAUAUUUGGACAAUAAUUCACAAAUACAAACGAAACGCUACAGUGUUGCUACAGUAUUUUUGGCACUCCAAAGUUGGGCAACUAAACAAGGCCGCAAGUUUUCUUUAACGUCUCAGAUCAGUGAGAACUGUGUGCCAGGCAUGUUUUUUUAGGACAGAAAGCGAACAAGCCAUCUCUGCAUGACUGCAUUCUUUGGGGCAUUUGCAAGAAUCCGCUCGAAUGAAAGUUAUGACAGUAUUUCUUGCUUUUUUUUAAUGGCAAGUCUGCAAUAACAAUAUGGAAUGGAAGACCAACAUAUAAAACAACUGUUAGCCAUUUUCCUAAUUUCUUCAUGGAACCAGGUGUAACUUGUCGGUUGGAGGCGCCAAUCCUAAGUUUUUUCGAACAAAAUUUGUAGAGUAUAUACAUGAGGUGGUUCCAAUGUUCCAUUGCUAUACGAUUAAACUUGAUUCGCACGCUUAACUACUAGCCUACGUCUACUACUCCCUCCAUCCAUUUAUUGGCGUCAUUUUACUCUCUUGCGCGAUGACCAAGGGAGGGUUGAAGGAGGACCGAUUAUCAUUUAAUCGCGGUUGGUAGAGAACUCGGUAUUAGUCCCGGUUGGUAGGGUGUAAAUCUUCCGAAAAUCCAUCCAGGAUAAACCAAUCGAGACAAGGGGGGUCUUUUAUCCCGGGUUACUCAACCGGGACCAAAGACCCCCUUUUAUCCCGGUUGGUAAUACCAACCGAGAUAAAACGGGUCACCACGCCAGGCGCCGCAAAAAAAAAAUCCCGAGAGGCUCCCUACACGCGCACGUCGCAAGCCACAAGUCACACGAUUUUUCACGCUGCGUGGGAUUCGAACCCACGACCUCCAGCCUCGCGCGUAGCUUACUUGCCAUCCCACCUAUACAUCACAUUUGAAUAUAUAGGGGAUGCAAUCCUUUUGUAUUAACUCGUGUGGACCCUUUUAUCCUAGUUGGAAACACCAACCGGGAUAAAAGACCCCCUUUUAUCCCGGUUGGUAUUACAAACCGGGAUAAAAGGGUUCGAGGGAUUUACUCCUCUUUCAGCUACCCCGUUGGUCCAACCGGGAUAAAAGAAAAGAUCCCCUUUUAUCCCGGUUGGUAUUACAAACCGGAAUAAAAAGGUUCAAGGGAUUUACUCCUCUUUCAGCUACCCCGUUCGGGACCCUUUUAUCCGGGUUUGAAACACCAACUGGGAUAAAAGACCGGGAUAAAAGGCCCUCGACCCUUUUAUCUCGGUUGGUGUUACCCUUUUAUCCCAGUUGGUAUUUCAAACCGGGAUAAAAGGCCUCUCAGGAUCUUUUUUUUCCACUAGCCUUUGCAACCGGGAUAAAAGAUCCUGGUUGGUGAGCCCCCCGCCAGUGACCGAGCUUUAGUCCCGGUUGGUGAACCUUUUGUCCCGGGUCAACUUUAAACCGUGAUAAAAUGGGGCAUAUGGAAAGUGAGUUCUCUACUAGUGCGUUUUGUACUAAAUGCACCGUGGGCUGUUGGGUUUCCAAGUAAUCUCUCCGCUAACACCGCUCAAAAUGGCGUUAUUGCGCGUCCGCGGCCAGCACGCACGCUUGCCAUCCGCGGCCCUUCCGUUUUCCAUUUUGCCGCGUGAAAAUUGCCGAGAUCAUCUCCUUAUUUGCCGCUGUCAUCCUUGAAGUCAGCUUCACUGGGGUAUACACGGCAUCAGGUUCCAUAGACUUCAGUGAUGUCCAUCUGGGAGUCCGGCACCUCAGUCUCACCUGCAAAAGUAUCCAUCACGAACUGCACCUCGCAUGUUGGCCAUGGGGUCUUCAUCUUUGUUGGUAGAAUUUGGUGCCCAGUUGACACCACGCACGUAAUGGAUCUCAUCGUUGUCGUCUUGGCGUUCCAUCGCAUGCAGGCAUGCAGCAGUGUGGCGGCGUGGAGCCACUCGGCGUUGCGGCGACGUGGAUCGACUCGGCGGCGCGGAGGUGUGGUGUGCUGGACACUUUCACGAAGGCUAAUGGGAGGGAAUGGAGGCGGUAUUUGAAGCAAUGGGAAGACAGCGCCGCAUCAAUUGCCACAUUUUGUAUGAGGAGCCGCGAGCGCCUAGGGACGAGGUCCGUAGCUUAAACGACGCCGACUCUUGGAAAACUUUUUUUUUUCUCAGAUGACUCCGAUAAAUGGACCGAGGGAGUAUUUCCUAAUAUCAGAGUUGUUACCCGAAUGUGAAAUAAUUGUGCAAUUAAACUUCAUCCAAAUCCACAUAAAAAUUACAAACUUACCAUAAAUUGGCCUUGGUUCUCAUGUGGAAGAGGUUUGCGGCAAGGGACCCCUAUCCCCUUAUCUCUUUCUGUUGGUCGCCGAUGUCCUCCAGAAAAUGGCCAAGCAAGAUCCUAGGAUCCCACACUCGGCUGCCCCAGGCCAAUCAUGCCCCGUUUUGCAGUAUGCAAAUGACAUGCUCAUCCUUCUCAGGGCGGACAUGGCUAGGCUGUCGGCGCUGAAGGAAGUGCUCGACGUAUUCUCUCUAGCUACCGAGCUGCACAUCAAUUAUCACAAAAGCACCAUGGUGCCAAUGGGUGUGCCGGCUGCGAUCAGCACUGCUCGCCCAGUUGAGUUUAGCCCUCUUCUCAUUUUUGUUUACCUGCAGAGUCCUUGGUGGAAGGAAUAUAUGAUCUGAGAAAAAUGAAGCGAUUUGUGCUAAAUUGACAUACCAGUUUACUAGUCCUUCAUACUUGCACAUGUGUUCUUUAUAUGUUGAAGUGCGUGGUAUUUGUUCUUUAUGUGCGUGAGAAAAAAAUUGAGUAUAUUGUGUAAGAUAGGAGUUGCAUGGUGUGAAUCAUUUUAGCCGUCUUCUCAUUUUGAGUAUGUUGGUGCUGGUCGAGAAGGAUUAAGCUUAUAUGUAAUAGCACGUGCCUGAUACCCUGAGGAUCAUGGAGUAAUAUUCUGCUACUUUGGAUAAUAUCUUGAUAAUAUAUGCAUACAGCUGCUCUGUCUCCCGCCGUUGCUAUGUUCUCUGCUCUGUCCAGCAAAUAGCUCCAGCAGCGCCUGCCCAAAUAGCUCCAGCAAAUAGCACCAGCAGGAGCAAAUUAACUCUGCGAGCAAUUUCCAAAUAGCACAGGGGCUUUCUUCCCCGGCAGGAUUCACAUGUACUAGGAAAUUCCCCACGGAGCUUUCUUCCCUGGGGUUAAUUUAUUCCUGCUGCCAAACUAGCCCUUAUAGUCGUCUGUCUCUCCAAAGUCCAAAGAAGUUGCUAAAUUAGGCCUUGAUUCGAGUGGUGCUACGUCUUCAUGCUCAAGGGUAAAGCUCAACCAAAAGGAAGCAUCAUUUUUUUUUCUAAACAAAACUGUAUAUAUCAGUGCAUCUUUUGUUGUUACUGAUGACCUGGAUCAGUGCAUGAUAUGAGAGUGUUCAGUGAUGCACUUAAGAAAAUAUGGUGACAAGUUUCCACAUCCUCCUACAGGUAUAAUAAUUUAUCUUCGUUUGUACAAAUAUGUUGUCUAUUUCAGUUACCUAACAAGUUUAUAUUUAUUUGUAGGCAAGUUUUACCUUGUUGACUCGGGGUAUCCUAACCAUCCCGGUUACCUAGCACCGUACAAUGGUACGAAAUAUCAUCUAUCGGAGUUUCGUAAUGGCCCAAUGCCGAAAGGUAUGAAAGCAACAUUUAAUUACGCACAUUCAUCCUUUACAAAUGUGAUAGACAGGUUCUUUGAAAUAUAAAGAUGAAGUGGAGAAUAUUGUUGGGUAUACCUAGUUUCCCAAUGCACAAACAAAGCAAAAUUAUUGUAGCGUGCAUGAUAAUUCACAACUUCAUUAGAGAGAAUGGUAUUGCCGAUAGGGAAUUUGAUUUGUGCGAUCAAGAUGAAAAUUUGUCCAAUAGGUCAGCCAUCAAAUUCUGAACAACAUGAGACGGAGACACAAGCAAGGGAUGAAGACAAUAAUAUAAAUGCAUUCCGAGAUGAACUAGCUCGUGCCAUGUACAACAGAUCUUAGCUAGUGAUUUGAGUGUUGUAAGAAUAAUGUACUUUUUCUUUAAUUUCGUGGUUAAUGGACAUGGUAAUAAACGAUGGAUAUUUUGCAUCAAUUAUGGAUAUUUUAACCGGAGAGAAAAAGAGAGGAAGGGAGCUCCUGCAUGCAAAGAACGGGCCAGGGGGCUCGUGCAUGCGACUGCAUGCAUGCAUGCGCAACGAGCGAAAGGGGCAAGGGCGCAAGGAAACCAGCGAGCAUGCACGGGAGAGGGGCAGCGCGCGGAAACUGAGGGAGGGGCAGCAGGGUAAAAGGAACAAUUUUCACAUCAAGUGUUAAACUUUAACUCCUCACCUAAACAUCGUGCUUGCUAAAAUUUAUCCCAUUUGUUUGAAGCACAGUUAUUGGGACCGGACCGGACCGGCGGUCCGACCAGUAAAAGACCGAACCAGAGCCUCGGCCGGUUCGGUCCGCCUAAAAGAUCGGAUAAGCAAUCGAACCGGAAAAAACCGAUUAAACCGGUGGUUUUUAGCAAGAAACCGAUAUAAAACCGACAAGAAACCGGUACAGACCGGAGAAAACCGAGCGCAAGGAGAAAAAACAGCGCGUAGGGAAGAAAAUGGGAGGAAAAAUGGCGUGGCUGGGGUCCGAACCCCCACCCUUGCCUUCGGCAAUGUGGAUAGCAACCAUCAAGCUGCAGUUGUGUUUGUGAUUUUAGUUGAUAAGUUACCAUAUUUGAACCGUGUUGAACCGGUGGUUCAACUGGUUGAACCAAUCAAACCGCAAACCGAGAGCUUGACCGGUUCAUUGUCUGGUCCGGUUCUAAUAACUAUGGUUUGAAGGAGCCCGUUCCUCCCAAACAAGGCUUAACUCUGCGGGCAAUUUUCAAAUAACACAGGGGGUUUCUUCCCAGCUAGCAAAUUCCCCAAUGGGAUUCACAUCUAGGAAAUUCCCUACCGGACUUUCUUCCGUGGGGUUAAUUUAUUCCUGCUGCCAAACUAGCCCUUGUAGUCGUCUGUCUCUCCAAAGUCCAAAGAAGUUGCUAGAUUAGGCCUUGAUUCGAGUGGUGCUACGCCAAGGGCAAAGCUCAACCAAAAGGAAGCAUCCUUUUUUGUAAACAAAACUGUAUAUAUCAUGUUGUGCUAUGAAUCUUACAAAUCCUAGAUUCGACACUUCUCGUUGUUUAACCGCGAUUAACUUUGAGUGUGUUUUGACUUGGCUGAACCAUGCAUGCAUGCAUCUGGAUUAUUACUGCUCCUGUUUACACAAGCAUUUCAGUUCAUCAGCUGAUGACUCGCUGCAAAAAUGGUGCAGGGCCUGCUGCAGUACUUCCGGCUGCUGGAGGACUGCCUGGACCUCAUCCGCGACCGCGAGUCCCGGGGCAACUUCACCUACGCCGCCGUCCUCCGCACCCGCGUCGACGGCUUCUGGUCUGCGCCACUCCGCCUCGACGACCUCCUCCACGCCGCCAACACCACCGCAAACGACGACGCCUACUACGCCGUCCCGAAGGGCUCCCGCUUCGGCGGCCUCAACGACCGCCUGGGCUUCGGCGGCCGGCGCGCCACGGAGGCCGCGCUCUCCCGACUCUCCAUGCUCCCUCGCCUCGCCGCCGCGGGGUACCACGGCCUCAACUCCGAGGCCGCGUUCCGCGCGCAGCUCGACGUGGCCGGCGUCGCGGGCCGCGAGCGCCGCCUCCCGUUCUGCGUCCUCAGCGACCGCGUCUACACAUUCCCGCCCGUGGCGGGGUACUGCGUCCCCGUGGCGUCGCUGGCGAGCUAGCCCCGACCCGCUCAGCGGUGCCAAGUGCCGGUCGUGCCGCGGCGCGGAGCGUCGACGCGCUGGAGACUGGGUGGAGCUGGAUCGAGCACCGGAACGGGGCGGCCGUGGAGCUCUGUGACACGUCCGGGCCAUGGAUAAUAUUAACAUAUCAUGCUUGUUUGCAGGAAAUUCAAGGGUGGAUGGUUAGUGUUGGUCUUGGUCGGCACCUAAUCAGGCAUCAUAUCGGUCUUUGGUGUACGUUGGCUGUUGCCCCAUCACACCAACAUCGAUCUCAUCUCGAUCGAUCUGACAUGCGUCCCCAUCUUGCUUCCUUUCUGCUCAGUUUACGCCUCCUCGAUCGAUCGAUCCUAUUUUGUCCAAAGCAUGGUUUGGGUACUUGGUAGUGAGCAGCGCACAUUAGGAGCAUUUGGGUUUCUUGGAAGCUGCGGCGCAUGGUGGCACACCAACAGAACAAAAACCAUUCUUCGAUCAGCGUUCUAGGUUGGACUGACUUGGGGAUGGUGGAUCGAUCUCAGGCAACAAGGACAAUUGAGGGAGCUGGCCACUCAGUGGCCAUGGCUGCUCAUUUGCCAGCAGCCCAAUCGAAACGAGUACUAAGCGGCUGCGUGAAGCAACCCCACUUCUUCCCUCGCGGUCCUUCAGUUGCAUGACAUUACGUCUCCAUCCAGGUCAUGUUACCUGUCCUUCCGGUGACAUGACAUUGUGUGCGCCCCGAACAAUGAUCUGGAUCCUCAGCUCGACGAGGGGCCCGGCCGGCAGGACGAUGGUGCACGGCGGGCGUGUUCCGGCUCAAUGCCGUCGCCACAGCACGGUUCAAUUGGACGCCGGCGCCGGCGCCGGCGCCGACCGCGCAGCUCGUGCUCCGUCGCGCCGCUAGCUCGCGCAUAUGUAACCGACCGAUAGAUACAUAGGAGGAAGCCGCCACUUCGCCGCUCCUGCACACCUGACCUCUCGCCGCCUCCGCCGCCGCCUCUCCUUGCCGGUCGUGGGUCUCCAGCGUCUUCGUCGGUAAGGCACCUCAUCACCUUACAAAUCCCCCGAUCUAUCCUCACAGAGGUCGCCAUGUCCGCCGAUCAUCUAAUUUAAUUUCCCGAUCUGCUGCUGUCUCAAGGUCGCCAUGUCCGCCGCCGCCGCCGCCGGGGGGUUCCCCAACUGGGUGCUUCUGGAGCCCUACGUCUUCCGCAGGGACGAUGACGAGUCCUUCCCGGAUGAGACCCAUGCGCCCAUCAGGGCGUCCGGCACCACCUCCUGGGGCGCCGACUUCCGCAUCGCCUUCUCCCUCGCCGAGCCCCCGCUCAUCUCCCGCCUCUACGCGCAGCUGCCGGGCGUCCCGGGUCCCCGCAAGGCGAGGCCCUUAGCCAUGCUGAAGACCCACCGCCAUCUUGCCCUGCUCGUCGUCAUCUCCCCGACGUCUGAUCAACCUGUAAUUCACGACUUCUUCAUCUUCAGAGCCGACGAGAACAACCCUUCCUCAUCAUCCUCGCUUAGAUUGCUCCCCCAUUGUACCGACACCAAGUUUGAUUAUUCCCGCCGCGAUCACCGCCUACCUCGUCGUCGAUCUUCCAGUGCUACUCCCCGCCUGCUGAAUAUGCAUUCCUUGGGCCUAUGGUGCGGAGACAAAGAGGAGUUCGUGGUGGCACAGCUCAAUCUUUGCGUACCCACCAUUGGCCGCAGCCGCAUCAAGGCCUUCGCUGACAUCUGCUUGCUGCGCUCCUCCGAUCAGCUUGGCGGCAAUUGGGAGUCCAUGCGUGUGCCAAUCCUCAACCCCUCUGCUGAUGAUCUCUGGAAACUCUCCCAGUGGCAGAACACCGCCAUCAUCCCCUUCCAACGAUGGCUGUGCUGGAUCGACUACAAACGAGGCAUCCUCUUCUGCGACGUGUCCGGUAAAGUGCUCGCCCCUACCGUCUCCUUCCUCUGGUUCCCUGAGGACAAGCCCUCUCUUACCAGAACCCGCAAAAUAACCAUGUGCGGCACCAUCGCUGGCAUGUCUGUCGUCGACCACGGCCGUUUGCUCAAGUUCGUCAAGGUCGCCCGCGAUGAUGGCCGUUACUAUGAAGCGCUCAAACCCGGCACUGGCUUCACCAUCACCUGCCACACCCUCGUGUUAGCAGGCGGCAGCAUGGCGUGGAAGGAGGACUACACUGUCACCUCUGGUGACCUCCCUGACUGCUACCAACGCGGCAUCCCCAUGCACCCUCAAGUUGACAUUGACAGGCCGCAUGUGGUGCACUUCCUUUUCAUUGAGUUUUUUGGUUUAGCCUACGAGAAGAUGUCGGUGCUCUCCAUUGACAUGAGCACCAAGACCAUGGUGUCAUGUUAUCUGUAUAUGAAUGGGAAUGAGAUCCUUCGCCGUGGCGAUAAGUGCUGUCAACCCGACGUCGACAUUGACUUCGUCAUAUCAAAGUGCUUGGCUCCCUCUCCAUUGCCCUUCCCUGCUUGUGAGUUCCCCAGGUUCUGCAAUUUAUCAAGGUAUGUACUAUUGCUGCUGCAUGCCCUUUUAUAAAUAACUCAAUAGAUUUUGAUUCUGCCGGCCGGUUCCAUAUUUGAAUAUUGCUGCAAAAGUUUGUGUCCAUGGCUUCAAUCUUGCAUUGUUGGCAUCUCAUAUGUUGUAGUAUAGCCUCUUUCUCCAACCUGCAGAAUACUAGCGUAGCCUGCAGCCUACUAAACAUUUGAGCCUUGAAGCUUAUGAUUGGAACAUAAGAGCUGCCUGCCAAUAUAUAUAUGCCUUCUUUUAUAUGCUGUUGGAAAUUACUAGCAGUUAAUUGGAAGUCAAGUAUACUACCUUGUCUGUUUUUUUUGCAAUUCUUUCCUAAGUAAACAACUUACUUCGGCUGUGCAUUGCUAAUCCUUCUCUUGGUCGCAGUACAGAAGCAAGUUUAAUUUGAACAUCUUCCAUCUAGUUCAUUUUUAUUUAAUAUUUAUUUAUUGCAGGAAGAGGAAGGAUAUGGAAUAAUGAGUCACGGCUGCCAAUAGUACUUCAUCCUACUUGUCGUGCUUUCUUCUAAAUGGUCAAAACUGAAGAAAGGCUUCUGUCCUGAUCUCUCGUCAACAAAACUGAAGGAGCUAUUUUGUGUUGUGGCCUAGGAAGCAUCUAUAUAUCUUAUGGUCUUUACUUUCAUGCUGUAUGAACGGAUAAGUUAGUUGUAUCAAGUCUAUCGUGUGUUCUGUAUGGUCGUCAAAAACAAGUUCGUCGUGUGUCCUGCUGUUUUAAGUACAAUCUUUAAGUUUGCUUGUGUUUAAUUUACCACGCACGAAUACCAGAGACUGCUUUGUGAUCGUUCCUGGAUGGAUCGUCUUGUACCCUCUACUAUAUGCCGCUGCUGUUGCAUCAUGCAUUGCAACAAGAAUUGCUGUUGUUGCUGGCUCGAAGCUACUCCAAGUCUUGGGGUUGAUCUGUAAUAGAAAAGGAUAGGGAAUUGGUGAAAACAUAUUUAGAUAAGCACCAGUCAGCACACACAAUACAAGUAAAAACUCGGAAAGGUACAAAAAUUAGUGAAAGUGGCUAAAUGUCAUAGUUACUGACUUAGGUGCAAUUACAAACACAUGUCAUAGUUACUGACUACUUAGGUAGGAUUCUCAAUGCAUAUGCUCUGUAAAUAAUUACAUAUCAUUACUCACCUAAGGAUUACUGUUGAGUAAACCUAUCACAGAGCUGCUUAUUGUAAAAUGCUAAAGCACUAGGAAUUCUGCUUCUGACCAAAUCAGGGAUGAUUCACUAUUUCUAAAUGGAAGUCAGAUACUUAAAAAAAAACUUUUGCCUGCAGUAAUACUAACAUCGUAUGAACAGGGUACUCAUCCAUAAGAUGAAGUUUGACAGACUAGGAUUAUAACAUAAAGGUUACUAAAACUGACACGUGCAUAAUUACUAACACCAAUACUGGAAAUCAAGGGCAUGUUUCAAUGUUGGCCCCAAUUGGCCAAGGCAAAGCAUGGGCAAUUUGGCAGCUGAUUUGGCUGCCCCCAUUUGGCCAGUCUUCGCGGCAAAAAUAAAUUGCAGAAGUCCGGUCAAGCCAAAUCGGCACCAUCAUGCAAACAUUGCUGAUACCCACGGCCAAUGGCCAAAUUUUGGCCAGGCCACUUGGGUUGGCAUCCAAACAUGCUCCAAAUAAUGCACAACCAUGAAGGCCACUUUACUAGCAAUCAGAGGAUAAACAAUAGACUAUAACCUUUUGCUGCUGGACAAAAACUAAUAUUUCAUAACAGGAAUUUAGGAAUAUCAAUAUUGGCACUGCUCUACAUCAAAUUAGGCAGCAUAUAACACAUAAUAAUCUGUAACUGUUUAGAACACAAUAAGAAGGCGAGGGUGAAAAAUUGACAUUUAAUUUACGAUUGGGGGGGGGGGGGGGGAAAGGAGAAAGAUAUAUCUACUUCACCAUGCUCUGGUUGGUGUAGCUACAUUCAAGGAAUUCAUAUCUAAGAAAAAUCAGUUGUACCCACAGCAAAGUAGAAAAGGACGAGUCUACCGACAGAUAUUUUUGCCUGUACCUGCCUGUACCCAGGACAAAAAAAAAAAGAUCAGGCAUACACAGAUCUUCGAACUACUGUCUACAGUUUUUUAAUACUAUGAAGAACUACUCUGGAAGCUCUACCCAAAAGAAGAUGUGUGCAAUAAGCAUUUACUUACCAACAUUCUCGCAGUCUUAAAAUCAUAUAUCAUGGGAUGUGAGUCACAUGUUGAACCUUCCAAAACCAGUGAAAUGAGUAUACUUAUUUUAAGUACCUGUCAGUUAGUACCAGUACCAUGAUGACCCCUUUCAUUCGCACUGCAUCAUUCAUUGGAUACUUAUUUUAAUAUAGAGCCAAUUAUUUUGAUGAAGAUGGAAAAAAAGAUCCAAAAGCCUAAAGCAUCAAUAAAACAGCGGCUGAGGUGGGCACCUAUAUUUCAGGGAACAAUAUUUGCAGAGCUACGGGGAGAACCACGACAAUACUAAUUUAAAUGGUGUUUCUUUGCAGUGUCCUUUUCUGAGAUCCAACAUAAGCAUGCUAAGUGAGUUUUGUUCUGAGAUGGACACUGAAUAAACUACAUAUGUGGAACAGGUGGUACCUUGAUGCUAUGAAACCCUGGUAACUUUCGAAAUUAGCUUGUGAUGGCGAGCUGCUUCAUGAAAAUCUUUACACAGGAAAAAGAAACAAUGUGAAAGGAAUUCUCAAUCUGAAUUAGCCAUAGCUGGUGUCGAUUUGUUCGGCGCGCGCCACACCCUUGGAUAUUUCAGCGGUGACAAUGGUGCAGAUCACUGGAUUUUGGCAAGGGGAAGAGCAAGCAUCCUUUCACCACCAGAGACUUCAGUGUUAAAAAUUCAUCAUCAUAGGCAGUACAGUUGGUGUCUAGUUCUAGAAGAAAUUAGAGACUGCAUUUCACCACUUGUUUCUGCUAAGCAUGCUAAAUUUAAACAAAAUCAAAAUGCAUCAAACCUGAUAUGCAUGUCUCUCAAAGGUUGAAGCUUGGAAUAAAAAUCAUCCGAUUAGUGCCCUCGAAUCAUAGCCCUGAAGAUUGAGGCUUCGUAUAAAAAGCAUCCCAUUAGUGCCUUGGUCUGGAUUUCAGCUUGGCUGCACUGUUAAUUCAGAAUAAACAAUAUUACCGCAGCUAGAUGACCUUGAUAGGCCUUUCUUCUUCAUCUUCUUUCUCCAUUUUACUUCCUAAACAGUGUUGGCUUGACCUAAUUGGAUGGCAAAAGCCGGUGCAUGUAUGUGCACGUUGUGUUGUUGGAGAUGAAUGAACAGGGAGGAACAACAAGAACUCACAGUACAUGCCGACCAUCAAGGUAGCAGCAUGUCGUGAAGCUGAAAGCCGGAACGGGUGGGUACUCGCGCCGCCGUCCAGUCUGCAAGCCGGACCUUGACGGGCAUCACUGCAAGCCGGAGGCCGGUGGCCGGCGAUAGCCGGAUCCCCUAGAGCACCAGAGGUGGUGGUCGGCGGCGAGCAAAGGGAUUGGACGCGGUGAGUGGUCCGGAGUCUGGCGGCGUCAAGCAGACAUGUGGGCCUUCGACUAAUUGGACCUAAUGCCAAACAUAACAGCUCACAGGCCCAAUUGGCGCAACAGGCCCACCUACUCCUUUCUUCUUCCUUGCCUCAACGCCGCCAACUCCGGCGUACUCGUUUCGACGGCAAGAUGCCCGGCGAGGAGGAGGAGAACGCCGCCGAGCUCAAGAUCGGCGAAGGUUCGCUCUCCUUCUCAUAUCUCUCUCUCUCAAGCUUUCCCCCCUUGCUUAUGCCUCCCGAAACACCCAAUCCCGGGCGGCUAGGGUUUCGUCAGGUAAAGCUUAUCGCCGCCGCGAUGCGGAACUGACUGACCCCUUUGCCAUGAUUGCGGCGGCGCAGAGUUCCUGAAGGCCAAGUGCCUGAUGAACUGCGAGGUGGCGAUCAUCCUGGAGCACAAGUACGAGCAGAUCCAGCAGCACGCGUCGGAGUCGGACCCGUCGUCGCAGGUGUCGCAGGUGUUCGAGAAGUCGCUGCAGUACGUGAAGCGCUUCAGCCGCUACAAGAACCCCGACGCCAUGCGCCAGGUCCGCGAGACGCUCAGCCGCUACGGCCUCGCCGAGUUCGAGCUCUGCACGCUCGGCAACCUCUGCCCGGACACCAGCGGCGAGGCCACCGCGCUCGUACCAUCCCUCAAGUCCGGGGGGAGGUUCGUCGGUACCUGAUAUGCAUGUUUCUCAGAACAACUUAUGCAUUUGAAGUACUCAGGUUCGGGUCGGGUAUCAACAUCUUUGCCACCGGAUGUAGUUUGCUCUACUUCUGCCACUCCUCUAUCUUCUAACACAUUUGAAGAUACAAUGAGCUGAAUUAUUGGUGACAGGCAAUGAUGUAGCACACAGAGUAUUCAAGUAACAAAGAGCAUCCUAAAAAAUUAUGAGGAUCCUAAGUUGAUAUUCAGCUUCAAGAUUACCCAAGCUAAAUGUACCUGACAUUGCCUGCCUCUAAAUCUGCACUGACGUAUCUCAGCAGCCAUUUCUUCUUUUCACCUGGACCUGGCACUGCAACAGCGCAGGUUGCCAAUAAUAGGAUACCAACCGAAGUGGUCUGUGCAGGUUAGAGGGUAUGGGAGGUUUGGACUUAAAUAGAAUCGGAUGACCAAACCUAAUUGGAUGGCAAAAGCAGGUGUAUGUGCACGUUGUGUUGGAGAUGAAUGAACAGAGAGGAACAACAAGAACUCACAGUACAUAGCGACCAUCAAGGUAGCAUGUCGUGAAGCUGAAAGCCGGAACGGGUACUCGCGCCGUCGCCCAGUCUGCAAGCCGGACCUCGACGGGCAUCACUUCUCUAGGCCGCUGGAGGCGUAGGGCAUGGCGAGAGGAGCAAGCUCUGCAUUUCAACAGCAGGAUCUUUAGAAAAGUUUGGAAGGAUUUUAGCAAAAAAUUGGCAUAAUCAGCCGCACAAAAUUACAAAUCGACGCUGGAGAGGAGCGGGGCGCAGGAGCCGCGAGGCUGGGGUCGCCGGUCGCCGCCUGUCUCGACCCGGAGUGCGGGCUGGCAGCGGCGGCGGGUGGGGCGCCUGGGGUUGCCCCGCCACUGGCCGCUGGCGCCGCGCCCCCACGCCGUCGGGAGGCUGGGCCCGCGCCGCCUGAGGCCGAGCCCCCGCGCUGCAGCCCCGCGCCCGCGCGGCCGAGCUGGGGCCACGGCCAGUCAUCAAAGAUGAGGUAGAGGCGGCGCUCCUCCAGACGCUUUGUCACCGUCACCGCGUCGACGCUUUAGCGAUUGCAUCUCGUUCUUGUUCCUUGCUCGAUCGUCGCCUUCUCGUCCUCUCGUCACCAACUGCCGCCCCACCACGCCGAUGGGGGCCGGCGGCGGCCCGACCUGCCCACGCGCCGAAGCGGCCGGCCUGCUGGCUGGCGGUGGCGGCGCCAUCGAUCCCGACACGCGUCAACCAACCACGUACGCCCAGGACCCGAGGCCCAGUCGAAGUGCCACGCGGAAAAAAGAAUCGAGGCCCAUCUCAUUCUGGACUGAGCCCAAACCAUGUUUUAUAUGGGUCUCACCGUCCUUGCCGAGCCGGCCCACUGCAUAGCCCGCCGCCGCCAUCACCAACCUCCCGCUCGUCUUGACCCCUCUCCUUCCCUUCCGUCGUCGAGUCCAACUCCGGCGCAUUCGUUUCGAUUGGAAGCGGCAAGAUGUCCGGCGAGGAGGAGGAGAACGCUGCCGAGCUCAAGAUCGGCGAAGGUUCGCUCUCCUUCUCAUAUCUCUCUCUCUCUCAAGCUUUCCCCCCUUGCUUAUGCCUCCCGAAACACCCAAUCCCGGGCGGCUAGGGUUUCGUCAGGUAAAGCUUAUCGCCGCCGCGAUGCGGAACUGACUGACCCCUUUGCCAUGAUUGCGGCGGCGCAGAGUUCCUGAAGGCCAAGUGCCUGAUGAACUGCGAGGUGGCGAUCAUCCUGGAGCACAAGUACGAGCAGAUCCAGCAGCACGCGUCGGAGUCGGACCCGUCGUCGCAGGUGUCGCAGGUGUUCGAGAAGUCGCUGCAGUACGUGAAGCACUUCAGCCGCUACAAGAACCCCGAUGCCGUGCGCCAGGUCCGCGAGACGCUCAGCCGCUACGGCCUCGCCGAGUUCGAGCUCUGCACGCUCGGCAACCUCUGCCCGGACACCAGCGGCGAGGCCACCGCGCUCGUACCAUCCCUCAAGUCCGGGGGGAGGUUCGUCGGUGACGCCGGCAACGAGAAGAUUGAGAAGAUGCUCAACGACCUCUCCCUCAUCAAGAAGUUCGAGUAGAGAGUGCCAUGGGCGUGCCUUGUUCUGUUCUUCAGUUUCCCUAGCUGUGUGAGACUUAUCUUAUCAGGCAACGAUGGUAGUAGGAUUUCCUACCGAUCAUCAAUGUUACAGUCAACUUCAUCUGCCUCAAUCCUGAAUUCCUGAUGUAUGCUUAUCCAAGUUAAGAGCCCAAUUGAUCUUUGUUUGUAAUUCUGCACGAAAAGCCUGAAAUUGAGCUGAUGAGUAUUCCUUUGAUGAUGGAUGCUUGGCUCGGUUUCCAGUUCUUUGGACUUGUCAUCCAGUAGCAGUGCAGUGUUAUUAAAUGUUGGUAACUUGGUAUAAACAUGAAGCUCAGCGGCAAUCCACUCCAAGCAAAGCCUUGGAGGAUUCUUGAUAUAACUGUCUCACUUUUAGUUGGAAAUCCAAGCAGAGCCUGAUUUCUGAACCACAUCCGUGGUGCUUACCACAGCCCAGAAUGCAAGAACCUCACAUCUUAUUAUAUGCAGUCCCUGGCUAUGAGACUUAGAGGCUUUCGAGGUGCAGAUAGCUUUUCACAUUAUCUUGAUCUGUUCUGGCAAGAGCCCUGAUCAUGGUAUAUUAAGGGAACUCUGUUAUUUUCAUAUGUUUAUGAAUAUAAUUGUAUUUUGUUCAUAAUUCUGUCCAAAAAGGCCUCCAUUCAGGUAAUUGAACUGAAGAGCAAGCCUCUGAAGAAUGCCCCCAGGUAAAGAGAACAGUUGGUUUUCUGUUCCGUGAUGCAACCUAUAUUACGGAAUAUACCAUGCAUGUGAAUAUGAAUAGAACAUCCUGCAAUUCAAGCAGGCAAACUGAGCCUGAUUCUGAACUUCACUUCACAAUGAUUUCAAGACAUCUGUGACACUACAGUAACUGCACAGCAGAGACACCAAGAGGCACACAUCUUCCCUCACAUCUCCUUCCUCACAGCCCUCUUUGCCAACAAACCCAACUCGUUUAUAGAUCUGUCAGGGGGAGGGGGCGUCGUGUCCAGUACCGCCGGCGAGGCUUCGAUGGCCGGCCUUUUCGAAGGAGAAGAGGAUGGCUGUUCCGGCCGGCCAUCCGGCCGGUCUCUUCGAAGGAGAAGAGGAUGGCUGUCCUGGCCUUCUUGAAGUAGAAGACGACGAGAUGUCGAAGGAGAAGAGUAUGAGUAGCAUCUCCAACUUCUUCAAGGACAACAGAUCUGCGUAAUUUCUUUGUCUUCCAUCUCGAUCAAAAAAUACUUUCGUUGAUUCUGUCUUUCGUUGAUUCUGCUUCAGGCGAAUUGUACGCUUGGCUUCCGUGCGACUCAUUCCGCACCUGCCUCGGUUUAUCCGCAGACGGGCCGCCUGCCUAUCCGCAGACGGGCUGCCUGCGCAGGCCGCGCCUGCCUGUGGUUUCUCAUGUGCCGAAGGAGCCCACGUUGCUCAUGACUAAGGCUCGCGUCGUCCUCGCUGCUCCUGCUCCGUUUGUCCGAGUAAGUGUGCCCGUCCCAUAUAAAAGCUCUUGACUGUUAGUACCGAAAACCCUAACUCCUACUGUUUACUUCCUUCUAGCUGCCGCAUCUGAAAACCGGAGUAGAGACGCCGUCCGAGUGCCGAGGAGCCCGAGGAGCCCGGGAAUUGGUGCUGGGUGGGCAGAGUAGAGGUGAAGUGUCGCCACCGUUCGAGCUGCCGCCGGAUCUGUGAGUUUUAUGUCUCCAGCCUCAUAGAUAGGUGCUGGUGGGUGCUUGUAGGUUAGAGCGUCCGGAUAUGUAGGUUUCCUGUGAGUAAGAAUCUUCUCCAGCCUCAUAGAUGGGUGCUGGUGGGUGCUGGUAGGUUAGAGCGUCUUAGUCAAUACGCAAUAACUGUUAGCUAACAGUUUGUAUACCUGUAAGUGUGAAACCCUAACUCCUACUGUUUAUUUCCUUCCAGCUGCCGCCUCGUGAAAACCUAGGCGGAGUAGAGGUGAAGUGCCACCAACAUCUGAGCAGCCGCUGCGGUCGGUGCCAUUUGUCUCAUGGCUCAAUUACCAUUGGAACCAGGUUUGUGUCUUUUUUCUGUUUAGAUUAGUCAAUUAUAUAGCAACCAAUUUAAUCUAGUUUUUAUUUUUUUUCAGCUAAGCCAUACAUUGCGUAUGAUGAGCAUGUUCUUGAUCCAGCACCUAACGGGGAUCGUGUAUUAUUUGCUGAUUAUGGUGGAAUCACUUGGGAUCAUUUCAGAUACAGCCAGCAAUUGGCCUUUGAUAUUGAUCAUAAUACAUUGUCAGGAGGUAUGCCAACUCUUCCUGGAGAGCGGGGCAGAGAUCCUUUUUAUCUAGCUGCUGAGAUAACUCAGAAGGCAAGUAGAUCUUUAAUCAUGCUUUUAAGGAAGAUUGAACUAGAAGGUAAUUGUGUUGAACUUCUUGAUCAUACCAAUGUCCGUGUCUAUGAGAACGGAUAGGUAAGGCUGUCACGCGCCUGUUUUCUGACAAAUCAAGAUUUAAGUGAUGCAGAAAUUGAGAAUCAUCUAAGGCUUAAUUAUAGGGCAGCAGUGGAUAUGAUUUUUAUGUUGUUUGAUGUCAAUGGCAAUGGGCAGUAUUGGCUACCACCAGAUAUGGAUCACCUACUUGGAUUGAUGUGGAAUAAUUUUGGGGAUCGGGGAAUUUAUGCCAUACAUGCUGCUCUUGUACCUAUGGUUUUGUAUCCCCACUUGUUUAAGGAACUGCACGAUUUCAUUUCAGCUAAGAUUAGGGGUUCGGAAUACCAUGACAUCUGUGUUGCACUAGUUGCUAAUGCUCCUGAUUGAAGACGUGAAGUUCAUAAUAAUGACCUCCUUUGUGAAAUAUAUUUUUUUAGACAAGGUUUGAAUUAUGUUGUUCCAUACAACUACCCAAAUCAACUUCAUAUCAGACGUGAUCAACUAGCUGCUCUUCAGGAAGUUAGUUUGAUAAAUUAGAAUGCAUCGAGGCUAACACAGCGUGAGAUUGAUAUUAUUAAUGGCCAUAAGCUUUUGAAGUUCAUGAGAAAUCGGUUGGCUCACUGUAUGGAAGCUAUACAAGCCGGCUAUACGACUUAGAAUCAGCAGUUUCAGUAUGAUUUCUCAGCUAUCAGUAGUGAGACGGUAACUAGAGUGAAAUUUCCUCUAAUCCUGGCUCAAAUUCAGAUUAAUCUUCAUCAUAUAGGGCAUGAUUUGGAGGGACUUGGGUUGGAUAACUUGUUUGGGAGAACUGGAUAACUUGUUCUAAAUGUCCUCUCAGGUAACUUGUGAUUAUGAGCUGUGCAAUUUCUAUGUUGUGUAUGCUGUGUGCUAGUGCGGAGGACUGGAGUUAGCAAGGUGGAGUGGCUUGCUAGCUUUUUGGCCUUCUACGAGACACUCUAUUUAACCCCCUGUGGGACUAUGUAACCCGUAAUUGGUAGUAGUCUUUUUUAUUAUAGCCACUUUUUUCAAUGCAAAUAUAGUCAUAAGCACAAAAGCUUUUGGUAUGUCAUAUCUCUCGGGUGAAUGUUUGGUCUUUAUUAAUUAUACUACUUUCUGCAUGUAUAUGCUAAUAAUUAGCCUCGCUCACUAUUGAGAAGAGGGAGGGGAGCACCUCUAUUUAUAGGCGCUCAUGAUCAUUGUAGUGUUGCCAUGUGGCAACUUCCACUCUCUUCAAUACAAAAUAUCCUAACUCUAGAACCCUCAUCAUCCUUAUCUAGUUUCUAAUAUUUCUACCAUGCUAAAAUAUCUAGUUCUAGAGUAUUCUACACUUCACCAUGAAGCAUGACAAUUAUGGCUCAUGCAUUCUCUCUAAUUUUCUAGAACCUUCUUACCUUGCCACGAUCUUAUCCAUAUACAUGGUAAAGUUAGUCUCUUUGGAUCUUCACAAUCUUCUAGAAUGUUGUAAGUAUGCAUUGCAUAUUUCAACACUCACCCCAUACACGCACUGUAUUAAACUAGUUGCAUGCAGCAAAAGACUUGUUGGAUCAUAUAUUUAUUUCGUGUUUGACUCUGCAGCAGCUACGAGCUCCCAACCCGCACCCCGUGCCAUUCCAGCGACAUUGUGGCGUUAGUGGCCAGGACACCCAAAAAAGGUAUGCAACUAUUUUCAUUCCUAGCCAAUAAAUAAGAUGAAGUGUGUAGGAUCGGUAUACAAUUGCUCAUUCCAGUAGUAGUAGUUUAUUCUUUUUGUCAUGGAUCAAUGAAAGUAGCUAGAGUAGUCAGUCAAUAAAUAGGGUGGGAAAAUAAAUAUUCCUGGUGGAUGGCAUAACCAACCGCCAGCACAAAAUUUCUCUGCGCUAGCGCGUGGUUAUGCCAACCGCCAGCAUGGAAUUUCAUUGUGCUGGCGCGUGGUUAUGCUACCCGACAGCACAAAGACCCACCGUGCUGGCGGGUGGUUAUAUCACCCGCCAGCACAGAGAGCCACUGUGCAGGCAAGACCUCUUUGCUGGCGGGCAAGCACCUGCCAGCAUAUACCGCUAUUUUUUCUGGUUCAAAGUUCCUGGCGGGUGUGCCGCCCGCUAGCACAGUGACCAUUUACCCGCUAGUACAAAUGUUUUUUGGAGUAGUGGUUACUGCAUCAACUUGUUGAUAUAUGGACGAGAUAACACUCUAUGACAGGUCAGCACCUUUUCCAGUGUCAAUGGAACCAAAGUAUGGUGGAGGCUUGUUGUUUUCAGUGGUGGCCGUGGCGCACGUGGUGGUGACUGUGGAAGUUAGUUAUCAUGUGAAGCUACGAUUUGAGAUUAGUAGAGGCAAGGAAGAAGCUGGGUGUGGGGUUAGUAGGCAUGCCAGGCCAUCGUGAUGGGCAGGAUGUUCAAGGUAGCUGCGAAGGUAUCAGCCUUGUACGUGCUGUAUCUGAUACCGCUGCGAUCCACGUACCUCGCCGGUUUCAAGAGCAACUUCAGAGAAGGUAUCUGAUUUCAUGUUGAUCCUUGCAAAUUUGGAUAUAGGAAAUCUCAUGUUUGUUAGCUAAUUAGCAUGGAGUGGCUACUCUUCUUGGGAGUAACUUGUUUAUCUCAAUUCAGGGACCGAGGCUACUGCCCCCAAGAAGAGUGCUGCUGCUGCUGCCAACUAAGUCAUGAUCGAUAUCCCCAUUGAAGAACCUUGGAAGCAACAAGUUGAGAACUUUUGGUUGAAUUGUACUAUCUCAUCUCUAUCUAGCCACAAUACUGUGAAAGCACUGGUUUGCCUGUACUUUAAAAUUAAAGUCAGAUGAAGAACAUCUGAAUUCGCUGCUCCUUAGUUUGAUGUCAUUUUGGUGAUCUGUGCAUGCGUUUCUGAGCAAUUUUAGGCAUAAAAAAUUCUUUUUGGUGAGCUAUGACCCCCACGCCACGCGUGACAUUGACAAGAAGGUCCGUUACAUGGGCCGGCCAACCUGAGCCUCACAAGGAAAUUAGGCAUUAUUGUUGGGUGGGUUCGUCCGUUGGUAUAGAAGCCCAGUGGCCCAAACUGCAUGCGUAUGGCCUCGUCGCAUACAAGUGCACCCUAAAUCAGCAUUGGUCCCUGGAAUCUGGAAGCCGCCGGAUCGCCGCCACCUCCGCUCCCGCACGCCUCCGCCUCUUCUCUCCUUGCUGGCCGCCGCGUCCUUCUUCGUCGGUAAGGCACCUCAUCACCUUAUAGAGAUCAUCCCCCGAUUUGUUCACCUCCGCCGACUUCCCCAACUGGGUGAUGCUGGAGCCCUUCGUGUUCCGCAGGGACGACGACAAGUCUUUCCCGGACGAGAGCAAGGCGCCCGUCAGGGCGUCCGGCACCACCUCCUGGCAAGCCCAGUUCCGUUUCGCCUUCGACCUCGCGGAGCCCCCGCGCAUCUCCCGCCUCUAUGCGCAGCUGCCAGGCUUUCCGGGUCCCAGGAAAGGGAGGCCCUUAGCCAUGGUGUUGACGCACCGCCAUCUCGCCCUGUUUAGCGUCGGUACCUAUUGACGAGAACCUAUUCAUCUACAGCGCCAAGUCUUCCUCGCUCGAAAGGCUCCCCUGUUGUACCGAGGAUUUGGAACUUGUCCUCCACGAUGGCAGCCCAUCUCAUCGCCCUCGUGAAUCGGGGUCGCGCCUGCAGUGUGUCAGUUCCAUGGGCCUCUUGUGCCAAGGCGAGGAAGAAGAAGAGUUCGCGGUGGCGGAGCUGAAGCUCUACCCGGACAGACGCAAGUGUAAGAUCUUCGCCGACAUCUUCCUGUUCUUGAAGUCAGCCGGCAAAUGGAGCUCUUCGCGUGUACCCAUCCUCCACAGCGGCAAUCCCGAUGAUUUGUGGCAUCUCUACAUCUGGCAGGCCCACAGGGUCAUCCCUGUGGACCGCUGGCUAUGCUGGAUUGACUGUAUGCAAGCAUCCUCUUCUACGAUGUGUUUGCGGCGGCACCGGCUACUAUCUCCUUAUUCCGCUUCUCCGUGCACAAGUUCCCUGCUACUCAUCCCAAUCGUGGCAGCUGGUUUCACUGUGGUGUGUCUGCCUUUGAUGCCGCCGGUACGCUCAAGUUCGUUGAUGUCACCCGCGAUGAUGGCAUUACUGGCUACAAGGCACUCAAGCCCGGUGCUGGCUUCACCAUGACCUGCCACACCCUCCUCCUCCCAUCGUCUCUAAGCAGUAGCAGCAUGGUGUGGAACAAGGACUGGAAAGUCACCUCUGAUGAGCUCUGGAGUAAUGAUAAUUGCCUCCCGCGCCAGGUUCCCAUGUUCCCCCAAGAUAACAUCGACAUGCCACAUCUAGUACAUUUCCUUAUCAGCGACUUCACAUACGUGAUGAGGAAGAUGUGGGUGGUCACCAUUGACAUGAACACUAGGACCGUCGAGUCAUUUUAUCAGUAUCUCAAUGGUCAGGAGGACAUUGGAACUGAGCAGGAGUUCUUGACCGACCAAAAGUCCGUGUGUCCCAGUUCCUUCCUCCCCAGUGAGUUCUCCAAGUACCUUUCCUCAAGGUAAUACUAAUUGCUAGCUGCUGGCAUUUAUCUAUCUUUUACCUAGUUGCUUAUUAGUAGGUUUUUGCUGGUUAAUUGCAUGUUUAAUUUGUCCCUUGCAUUGCAUAUAUGCAAGUUGUUCACCACAUAUUAAUCAAUCGUUAGCAUUUCACUUCAAUCUUUAAUCAAGUGUUUGUUUUUGGCAAUUCUUUCCUAAGUAAAUAUAUAUAGCACAACUAAUAAUUUGGGACGCAAUGGUAGUAUUUUCCUCUAGUAUUUGUUGUCUUAACUUAAUUGUGACUAUACUGUGCAUGCAUCAUUACAAAUCAUUGUCACAAAACAUAAAUCAUGUGACGGUUUGGACCAAGUACAUAAUAAAUGAGAGUGAUCACAAUGUACAUUGGUAAUUUUGUACAAUCAUAAUGUACGCUUGUGGCCAUGCAAGGUCAAAUUCCAAACAAACUGCCAAACACACAGAGAAAAAACUACAUUAGUGUGUUAUCAAUGUAUUACUACUAGCCUGCAUGUUUUCAGAAGAACAAACCAACCACAAGAUCACAUUUUGAAUUAAUCUCAAGUCAUCAUUCAUCAUCUGUCAAGUUCUCCAAAAGCGCCAAAUUCUGCAUUUUGAGGAUCCUCAUGUUGAGCUCAACUUGGCGAUUGAUUGCUGUAUGCCUGUGUCAUGAUUAUCAUGGAAGCCAUCAACGGGAGCUAAUGAAUUACAAAUGAAUUUCCACUAUAUCUUCAAGGGCUGAGAUGUCCCAAAAUAACAGCCGGAGAAAAUGUUUCCUUACAAAUCGAUUCAGAAGCACUGGAUUGCAUGCAUAUUCGCCGUUGUAGGCUCCUAGCUAGCUGUUCUCGUACUCUUUGGCGAGCUACAAGCCUACAAGAUGAGAAUGACUGUAUGGAUGAGAACGAAGAGGUAAGAGAUAUGGAUACAGGUCUGUGUAAAUAAAAAGCCUCGACAUGCUUAAUAGGGAUAAACGAAGUUAAACCAAAGAACCCCUCAGCAGCAGCCAGCAGCUUAAAAAAAUGAUAACUAAUCUAUUAUUAUGACCUAAAAUGCUUUUAUUACUAGCAUGCUUUUUAAAGUAUUGCGAUUGGAAUUCCUGCAUUGCAAACAUCUUUUUCCAUCCAUUCCUGUGUUUUUUCCAUCCUUUGUUUCGCUAUUACACACUCAUCACAUUCAUACGGUUUUUUCCUAUUCCUCUUGUUUUAUAUUCCUUCGUUCCAAAUAGACCCUAAACACUGAAGACAUUACGAACCUGGGAGCAUUAUGAACUCUGAAUAAGUUACAGAGGGAUUUACACAAUACGGAAUUUCUGAAUGCCUGCACUGAAACGAAACAAAAUGGAAAUGUUCCUCAAAUGACAGUUCCAUGAAGUAGCUAGGAAACUCUAAGGGUCCAUUUGGCUGAGAGAAUCGUUCCAGAUUCUUGCUAGAAUUUGUCUGUUGCUUGCCAAACGGUCACCAUAGCUAUAGUUGGCUAAAUGGGCCGGGCUAAACGGGCGGCAUGAGGGCCGGCCUGUUUUGGCCUGACGCCAGCACGGCCUGGCCCGCUGUUACACGGGCCUGUGCCGGCACGGCCCGACACAGCAAGCCGAACCUAGGCCUCAGCUGCGGCACAUCGGGCGGCCCAUGGCACGGCCCGUGCAACGGGCGGCACGGCCACGGCCCGGUUUCCCUGGUAUAAGCCCUCCCUCCCAGCCCCCGCCCGCGCAUCCGCAUCGGCAACCCUAAUCCCUAAUCCCCUCCCCCUCCCUCUCCUCCAGUCCGCCGCAAUCCCACUUGGCCGCUCAGCCUCGCGCGUGUCUGCCUCCCUCUCACCCUAAGCACCGGUCACCGUCACAGCGGCACCGCCCCCGUCAUCGGCUCCCCACCCCCACCUCCUGCCCUCCGCCUGUCCGCCUUCGGCCCUCCGCCUAUCUGCCUCCUUCCCCUUCUCGAUCUAGAUCUCACCGGUCCGCCUCUGCCUCUUGCCUUGAUGCCUCCUUCCCCUCCUUGAUCUCGGCAUGCUUGGGUGCUUCGGCAACGCAGGUACUUUCUUCUUCUUCCCCUUCUCACAUCUUGACCUAAUCCCCUCCCGCAUCUUGGCUUCUAGGUCAUUGGCUGAGCACAAUGCCAUCGUGCUCGCAUGGGUGUGGCGCACGCCGUUGAGGAGCCUGAGCCGCCGAGGCAUCAAGGAGGCGAGGAGGAGGGAGGUCAUUAGAGUCUCGGAGAUGGAGACUGAUACACCGACCUCUGAUACACCUUGGUCGUUAGAAGUGGAUGUCCUCCAGGUUGGCUUAGCUGGUGGCAGUGCUGCAGAUGCUAUCGACCUUGAUGGUGCCGGCCCUGCCGGCGCGCCCGAGGAGUCGGUGCCGCCGGUGAGCUUUGACGCGAAGAGGGUCAAGAACUCCACAUCUAAGGUGUGGAACGACUUUGAGGAGCUCUUCAACACGAGGAAUGGCAAGAAGGUCAAGUAUGGCGCUAGGUGCCUUCAUUGCAGUCAUGAGUACUCUGGCAAAUCUUCUAGUGGUACUGGCCAUUUGUGCCGGCACAUUCUUGCUUGUAGGAAGAGAAAAGAAAAUGAUCGCAUGGCUCAAACUAUGCUAAAGUUCAAUCCUGAUGGUUCUAUCCAUUAUUGAGAGUACUCUGAUGCUGUUGCUCGUAGUCAACUGUGCCGCUUGAUAGCUAGGGAGGAUAUGCCUUUAGGGUUUGGAGAGUCUAAUACCUUUUAAGAGUACAUAAACUGUACUCAUAACAAUAGAUUUUCUAAAUCCUCUAGGCAAACCACCACCAGAGUAACAAUAGAUUUUCUAAAUCCUCUAGGCAAACCACCACCAGAGAUAUGGUAAAACACUUCACUGAAUGUCAUGGUAAGCUUAAGGAAAUGUUAGUUGUAUCUUUUUCAUCUGUUGCUCUUACUUCUGAUAUAUGGUCUGGAAAUUCUAAGGAGGAUUAUCUUAGUAUGGUUGCUCACUUUGUUAAUGCUGACUGGGAAUUAGAAAAAAGAUUGCUAGGUCUGAGACUCAUUGAUGAGUCACUUCUGGUUCUUCUUCUGUUUAUUCUCCUUCUCAAUUGGGAAGGAGGACAAGUAUUGGUGCACUAUUUGUAGGUACUACAUCUCUUUCAGAACUGUCAUCAUAUCUAGAUAGUGACUACGUCACCCAAUACGAUGAAGACUUCAACAUUCUCAAUUGGUGGCACGAGCAUAAGCAAACUUAUCCCAUUCUUUCUAUACUUGCUAAAGAUGUGCUAACAGUACCUGCUUCCACAAUAUCAUCAUAAUCCACUUUUAGUCUUGCUGGCAGGAUGCUUGAGGAGCGGCGACGGUGGCUGACAUCUGACAUGGUGGAGGUGCUGUCUUGCUUGAAGGACUGGGAGUGGGCUGAUGCUCAAUUGCAGCACAACGUCGAGAAGGAGACCAAAGAUCUGGAUCUGGCUUUCGAGAACAUAUUCCUUGAUGAUGAUGAUGCUGAUUCAUGAUGGAGUGAUGCCUUGAUGGACAUGUGUCUUUUCUAUUCUACUUAGUAUCGCACUAUUUGUGUAAUGAACAUUUGGACAUUAAGAACUCUCUAGAGCUAGGUUGUACUCUUUUUUCCUUUCUAGGUUUUUUCUCACGAGGUGUGAGUUUUACCUAGAAAGGUUUUUAAUAAGGCAGCCACAUCAAACGGCUCAAAUAAAAUUUGAUUUGAUCAUCUCUAUAUCUCUAUGAGUAUCAGUUAUGAUUUUGAUAAUAUGUAUGUAUAUGUUAUAUGCUGUGCAUUCCCUAUCCGUUGGAUGGUUUUUAUUUGGCGGGCCGAUUGGCGGCCCGACCUGACUGGCUAUGUAUAACCACAGCCGGCAAUUCUAGAUAGAAACGUUUCUAGCUAUUCUAAUUUUUUGUACUAGAGAAUAGAAUCACCUCCAAGCCAGUUUCAGGUGAUUCUGUUUCUUUCUUUCCUGUCUCCCCUCUAGUAUGUGAUAAGUACACUUCGUCUUUUUCAAGUGCAAUAAUUUAAAAUGGAUCGCAUGUGAAAUGUUCUUCACCCACAAAAAAAUUCAUGAAGCCUAUCUAUUUCUAUAUUUUUUAAAAAAGAAAAAUAAUUUAUCUUUAUGUCUAUUUUAGAAACCGAAUCAGCUAGGUAGCCAAACAAUUUUAGGUAGCAAAACAAUUUCAGGAAAGUAAUUCUAUUUCAACAAAGAAACGUUUCUACAGAGAAUCUGAAUCUGAAAUGUUUCUUAGAGAAUCUGGAUCCCUACCAAACCAAACCUAGGAUAAGUUAUAAAGCUAGCAUAACACAUGGGACCAUAUAAAAGGACCACAAAACAGGAGCCCAGAUUCCAAGAACAAUUACAUCAUAUAAUCUAAAUGUCUCUUAUUUGUUGGAAGGGCAAUUUUUUCUAAAACACUAUGAUUUCCAAAUCCACUUAAAAGAACUUGGUACUUCAGAACGAUCGGUUAGAAUCUUAUAAGCGUUGGACAAUGAGAAAACAGCAUUACCCUAAACUUUCAGUCUCAAAACUAAAUUCAAUUUUUAAGAACUGUUCCAUUUACAAAUUUUUGCAAUACCAGUUAGGUUCCUACUUCCCUUACGUAGUUACUCCUGUAUUACUGUCUGUAUCUCCAACAAAUUCAAUUCCCAGGUAGGCCGGAUUGAUGUAGUUUACAGAGAUGCUUCCAGGGAACUAGUAGUGCAGAUUACUGCACCAUACCAAGCAAGAGCAUGCUAAUUCGAAACCAAAACCGAAACCAAGCAAAACAGCUCACAUUGCUAGUUUCUUCCACGAUAGAUAUUUUCUUGUGAUAUAUCUAGGAAGGAACAAGGUCCUCAAGUGGAUAGUUCCACUAUCCGCUUGUGGUUUGAUGAAACAUCAGACAAUAUCUUUAUCAAUGAAAUAGGCACAAUCUCAUACCCGUUCGUUCAAAACGAAAAGAAAAGAAACAUCAGACAAUAGUUCGAAAAUCAAAGAAAGAAAUAAAGAGAAAAAAAAUCGCCAGGAUCUUGUUUUGCCGUUCUGAAUUUGUGGUCGCCGCUCCCAUGCGAUGCGUAGCGUUGGUGGAUGGAUCCAUCAGUGGCCGCCGCCCACGGCGUCCUUGACCGCGGCCGCCGCGCCCUGGGCCAUCUGCGCCACCUGAUCAGCAGCCUGCGCUCCCACACGGAUGGGAGGAUUAGAGGAUUAUUCAUCGGAAAUCACCCGGCGAGGAGGAAUUCAUCCGUACUACCUGCUGGACGGUGUCGGCGGCGCGGUGCUGCUGCUGCUGCGCGCUGUCGGCCGCAGCUCCGGUGGCGUCGGCCGCGGCGCCGCCGGCGGCGUCCUUGACGGACUGCGCCGCGCUCUCCGCCUGGCACUGCACACACACACACAUGGAUCAUUCAUGGAUGAAUUCCAGGGCACGCCAUGCCAUGCAAGCAAAGCGAUUCGUCAGCACUAGCUCACCUCGCCCUCGGCGGCGUGCGCCUUGCCGGCCUGGAUGGAUUGCUCAACGUUCGACAUCGCCGAUGAUGGUUUCUUCUUGAAGCUGUCAAAAUUACUUGAAGUUGCCAGGCGCUUGAGCCGUGGUUUAUAUAGAGCCUUGUAGGAGCUGCAAGUCUUGACAAGUGUCAGGUUAAUUUUUAGCCAUUUGCUAAUUACCGCAAGCCAAAUUUAGAGCCUCCACAAAUAUCGUAUUCAUAAUUUAUUUCUAGAUUAAAUCACAACUAAAAGUGCUUAUAUAUCCAACAGUCACCUCUGAUGAGCUCUGGAGUACUGAUGAUUGCCUCCUGUGCCACGUUCCCAUGUUCCCCCAAGUGAACAUCGACAGGCCACAUCUAGUGCAUUUCCUUAUCAGCGACUUCACAUACGUGAUGAGGAAGAUGUGGGUGGUCACCAUUGACAUGAACACCAGGACCGUCGAGUCAUUUUAUCAGUAUCUCAAUGGUCAGGAGGACAUUGGAACUGAGCAGGAUCAGUUCUUGACCGACCAAAAGUCCGUGUGUCCCAGUUCCUUCCUCCCCAGUGAGUUCUCCAAGUACCUUUCCUCAAGGUAAUACUCAUUGCUAGCUGCUGGCAUUUAUCUAUCUUUCACCUAGCUGCUUAUUAGUAGGUUUUUGCUGGUUAAUUGCAUGUUUAAUUUGUCCCUUGCAUUGCAUAAAUGCAAGUUGUUCACCACAUAUUAAUCAAUCGUUAGCAUUUCACUUCAAUCUUUAAUAAAGUGUUUGUUUUUGGCAAUUCUUUCCUAAGUAAAUAUAUAUAGCACAACUACUUUACCAAGCACCUUCAUUUGCAUGCUAGCUUUCUCUUGCUAACAGAAUCAAUGCAAGUUUGAUUUGAACAUCAUCCAUCUAGAUUGCUUUUUCACAGUAUUUAUGUAUUUCAUUGCAGGACGGUGGAAUGAGUCGCAUCAAUAUAUUUGGUUCCACAAGAUAGUAAGGCUUCUGUUGUGUUUGUCAACAUGUUGAAGGAUGAAUGGAUAAGUUAUAUCAAUAAGUUUGUGGAAGUGUGUUCCGUAGGUUCGUCAAA